AAAAUUGGUCAGUGUAAGGUUAUGGGUUCAUUACCAAUUUGCUUAGUGAAAAUUUUUCCACAUAUUGUGGACCGGUUUGGUAGCAGAAAUAAGAACUGUGUUUUGUUUUUCAAAACGGAAAUGGAUGCAGAAAACAUGUUUGGUAGCCUACUUUCAGAACUUGUUUCCGAAAAUAUUUCCUGAAAAUGAAUUAUUUCAGAACUUGUUUUUAAAAAAUUCAAACACUUUAUCAAUUUAAAAGGUUCUGAAAUGGACAUGUUCAUGGUCUUCAUUUUUUAAAAUUAAAGCUUUUAUGAAAAAACCAUUUUCCCUUCUACUAAACAAACAGGCUCUAUAUUGUAACAGAUCGAUUGGCCAUUUCCUUUGUCAUGUUUUGUGAAUCAUGGCAACACUGGAAUCCACUCCAUUACCAUCUGUUAGUGAUUAGAAGACAAAGCACCAAUUUUAAUGAUAUCCUUUAUGUGAUUUUGCUUCCUCCUGAGUACAAGUUCAUAAUAUACAUGGUACAUGGUGAAUCUGUAUGACAGUUCAUGGUAUACAGGUGUGUGCUCUUCUUUCUGGUGGAGGGCAUGCUGAAAAAGUGGCUGUUCCAGCUGGGCAAGUUCUCCCUGUCCUAUCUGGUGUUUCUCUGAAGGAUGCUGCUGAGGUUGCAUGUACUGUUUGGUCAACUGUUUUAAUGAUGAGCCGACUGUCUGCAGGAGAAACAUUCCUGGUGAAUUUUUUGUCUUUUUUAUUUUCUGAUGCCUGAUAUAUUUACCAGCACAAAUUUACCCUGUUGCUGUUUAAUGUGUGUGCAUCAAUAUUGGAUUAGGGAGGUAGAAGAGCCAUGGUUCUAAUUAAAUCAUUACAUCAUCAUAUUCUUAUUUAGAUACAUUGUAUCCCACAAUUUCAUUGCAUCCAAGGCUAUGUUGUUUUUUAUUGCACGGUUUGUCAUGGUAAUUUCUCAACCCUUCUCUGGAAAAUUAUGUUGGAUGGCUGCUAUUAAUUACCCCAAAAGAAGAAAUUUUAUGUUGAAGUAAGAUGAGUAGCACAAAGAGUUACUUGUGGUUGAUCCUAUCAUCAAAUGGGCGAUUGAUGCACAAUCCAAAUGGUAAAUUUUUUUCCCCCUUUAUCCAGAUGGAAUUUUUAUGCAUGGUUGAAUAGUGAAAUGAGAGGACUGAUAAUAUUUCAGGUUCAUGGGGGUUCAAUUGGAAUUGGUACCAUCUAUUCAAAUAGCGAAAUACCGAGGAGCAAGGGUAUUUGUUACAGCAGGUUUGCCAUCACUGUUCUACCUCAUCUCACAGAAUGCUUAUCUCAUGGCACCAAUUCCUUUUCUUCACAUGUUUUCAACCAUUUUUUCCACCCAGGAACGAGGAAAAAUUAGCUAUUUGUAAGGAUCAUUGAGCAGAUGUGUGCAUCAAUUACAAGACUGAAAACUUUGUUGCAUGGGUGAAGGAGGAAACAGGAGGGAAAGGUAUAUUCUAUUGUAUCUUAACGAUAAUUUCAAUUGAAGGUGGAAUUGCUUUUUAUUUUUUAGUGCACCAAAUCCACUAGUCUGGAAUGUUUGAAAAGAUAAAUAGUCAUCUUCCACUUGAUUCCGAUUGUGAAGAUCUAACCCCAAAAAUGUUGAAUGACAGGUGUUGAUGUUAUACUGGAUAAUAUUGGAGGGGCCUACUUUUGGGGAGACAUCAAUGGUUUAAAUGUUGAUGGAAGGCUUUUUAUUAUUGGUUUUCAGGGUGGAACAGUGGUACAAGUAAAUCUUUCAGGUUUACUUGCAAGGCGCCUUACAGUGCAAGGUACUGCUUUCUCUGUAGAAGAUUUUUCUGUAGUUUUGGAGUUGAAUCAAUUUGAUUAAUCUCAUCCAAGUUCAGAACUGAGGUGGAUUCUGGCAAGCCAAGGAAAAACCAAAUUACCAUAAAUUCUUUUUUUUUUUUCUGGAUCGUUUUACUUCUUGGAAAUCCUGUUUCUCGAUCUGUUAAUCACAUGGUUUGUUUUUCUUUAUUGUCCCUCUUUCUUUUCUUGUUGGUACCAAAUCCCUAAGAUGUGGAAGCCAAGUGAGCACUUUCUAUCUUUUCUUGUUUCAAUCUCUCAUCCUCUUGUGCACAUUGAGCAAUAAGCUCAUUCAAAGUCCAUUUUUCCUUUUGUGUGUUGUAACUGAUUUUGAAUGGACUGAAUUGUGUAGGCAGAGAGAUCAAGACCAAGUGCACGAGUAUGUCUUCCGAAAACUCUAACUUUAGUGCCUUUAGUCUAGUCACAAGAUUAGACAUUUCCAUAAUAUACUCCCUUAUAUUCUCUUUCCCUUUAUACCGCAUAGAGACAAGCUUACUAAGAAUAGUGUUUGUCUCAACCUUUUCAUUUGCAGCGAUCAAUUUGCUAUCUGGUCUAAGAAUGCCUUGGCUCGAGUUUUCUCAGGUAUUGCACCCCUUAUAACUUUUGGAAUUGAGUGCUUCGUUAUUAUUAGACUCAUGCGAUUGGAUCGCUCCCAUUUUUCCAUAGUAGACCUUUGCUCAGCAGUGCUGGCACUAGUAAGAUCUGGAGGGCGAUCCUCUCUUAAUGCAUAGUCUAAAUCCAUGCACCCGAGCACAAUUAUAGCGUGUUCCUUCCAUUUCUUGAAGUUUGUGCCAUUAAGGGCAGGAAUGUUAUUGACAUUUGCAGAUAUAGAAUAUGUUGAAUUCAUAAUAAUAAAGCUCACAAUCAGCCACAUAAACAUCAUACAUACAUGAAAAAUAACAUCAUACAAGAUACCUAGUACAAACAUUAAUAUUCUGUCUUUUGACAAUAAAUAUUAACUUGUAAUUGGUAUCCUUAUACAAAAUUAAUUCAUAAAUAUUGACAAUAAAACCAAAAACAAUGUGCCUCUCUUUGGACUAACAUAUUGAAUGCAAGAUAAACUUUAUAUGUCACAUAUUUAUGACUACUUUAUUUAUUAUUAUAUUAAAAUAAUCUUUCUUUGGGUCGCUUAUUUUAAAUAAUAAUAAUAACAUGUUUAGAUAUUAUAAAAUAAAUAAAUUAUAUAAUAUAAGUUACUUUGGCAACUAACAUACAUAAUUCAUUUAUUUUUUGUUGUUUCCUUCCUCUUGGAUCUUUUGUUUGUGUUUUAAAAAAAAAAAUGUUUCAGUGAAAAUGGGAAAUGCAACCAGGCUCUAAUACCAUUUUGUGGGACGUUCAUUCUCCAUUAUCAUCGAACACAUGCAGGAUAUAUUUAUAUAUAUCUAUCAAUUCAUUCAAAAUAUGCCGAUGGGAAGCCAGAGAGAACAAGUUCUAUUUUUAUUUUGAAAACAUUGUUAUCCUUAAAGAACAAACACUAUUAUUUGGAUUUAUACUCUCCUGCCUUAGGGACCAUACCCUUUGGCUAUUAGGCCUCACGAGUCUUAGGCCCAUCAUCUAAGGCUCGUGAUGGCACUGGGCUCUACAUAUAAGGUGGCCCAUACUCUGGAACGAAUAUAAAUCAUAUGUAUAUAUAUGGAUAGCUAAAUCCUGAAUAAUGGUUAAUAUGAUGUCGGUUCACAUUUAUUAUAUCAUAUAGACUUCCCAUCUGAAGAAAAUCGACAACAAGUAGCUUUGCCAUUCUUAGUUCGUAUACAACCAACCUUAGCAAGGGUUGAACCCUUUUAUGCUUAGUUGUGCCAUACAGAUCCUUACCACCGCCUACAACAUGUAAUUGAAAUGAUUCGAUAAUAUCAUCUAGUGAACCAAUACCUCCAAAUGAGAGACCAUUGCCUCAGUAACUAAGACUCACGACUGAGAAUUGCGUGAACCCCUUUGCUUGGGUUGGAGCUUGACUGAUGCACAAAAUAUUCAUAGGCCUCUUCCCAUAACAGGCACCUUGUGUUUGCAACAUAAUUGAACAUGUAUUGAAGUGAGUUUUUUUGCAUCUUUUUGUAAGAAAAUUCUAAACAACAAAGAUUGCUUAGUGUGCCUGACUCCUCAAGGAAUCAAGGUUCAUUCCUGUAGGGCCAGUUUUUUCACAGUCGAACUAGAUAACAUGGAGAGUAUGUUGCAAUGCUUCAACGGGGUAUUUCUUAGGAAAAUCCACCUGAAGCUGGUACAAUUCGUUGGCGUACUGAGUUCCUAAAGCUCUAUUGACUUCAAUCACCCAUCUCUGUAGAUUAUCGGUGACUUUAUGCUCGGAUCCUGUAGGAGGAUUGACUUGACAUUCCACUAGUUUUUUCUGGAAGGCGAUUUUGUUUAACACCUUGUGAGAAGAGGCAGGGGAACUGGUCAUUGUUUCUUCGAGAAGAUCAGUGGCCGAGGAUGGGUUUGGACCAGAAUUGCUAUAUGGGUUUUCUUUGGGUGAACCAAUUAGUGAAAUAGGUGGCUAUAUAGCAACUAAAGGGUGGUCAUACUAACGAGGAGCUAUUAUUUCAUGCAUGUGGAGAGGAAAUGACUAGCUUCUUCAAGGAUAUAUGAUUAUUCAUCUCUAGCUUACGUUGACUAUCUCCUAACAAAUUUCUGCUUUGAAGCUCCCUUAGUUUCACUACAGCUAAUUGGCCAACUUGGUUUCAUCAUGUUUCCUACAACCUCUAAGCAAAGCAUGCCAGAUCACCGAAUCAGGUUCUAUUCGCAUUUUGUCCAUAAACUCCUUUGCCUAUUGACAAUAGACUGCCCCUCAAAAUUUGAUGAGAUAACAUCAACGCUGACAUGUUGGCCAUCCCCAUAAGCAUCUUUAUAGAGAUUGAUUCUAUGUUUAGAUAUUUCUCUCUCCUCAAGUGAGUUCAACUUUUCUGUAGCAUCCUUCUCCUUCUCUACUAAUAGUCUUAGUUGAACAUCCAACCUAUGUUCCCAAAGUGCCAGCAUCUCAUAUCUGAUGACAAGCCAACAACCUUGCCCUUGCUGAGACCCAAAUAAGUAUCCAGAACCAUCAACAUCAACCCUUUCAUAGGCCUUUGUAUUUGAAGGUCGGAUUGGGAUUGCUUUGAAUGCACUGGCACUACAAUACACAAUUGUUUCUUCUCCGAUAAAAACACCACAAAGAGGUGAGGGGACUGGUAUUAGCAAAGAAGUGUUGUUAUCUAUAUUGUUCUAAGCCCGAUUACCCUCAACAAAAUCCUCAUCCUCAUCUGUACUCUUCCAUUACAUCCCUAGGCUUUUCAAUGUGAUCCACAUGGCUUACAGGAAUCCAGAAAUACUGAUCUGUAUAAAAGUUGCUCUUAUGGGGCUCUCCUAGAAAACAUCCCAAUCAAGAUGAUCAACCUAGCUUAGAUGCUCAGCACCCCAAACUUACCAGAAAUAGAGGAAUAAAAAGCAAGGAUAGGAGCCAAAGUAAAAACUAAGGGAAGAGCAAAUAGGAAAUCAAGCAAAACAUGAAUGUACAGAGCCUCAUUUCAGGUGACAUCUUUGGGCUAAUAAUAGGUGGAAUUAACAAAGUAGAUAAGCAUGAUUGUUAUAAAUAUCAAGUUCAAGGAUGAAGUCGUGCAUCAGCUACUUAUAGGGGGAGUCAAGGAAACCAAGAUAAGAUCAAAGAGAGCAUGUAUGCAAAUAAACAGAUACGACAAAAUAGACCAAACAACUCGUGAAUAUCCUCCUACAAAAAACUACUACACGUGGCAAAAAGUGAUGAAACAAAAAGAGUUGGGUCCGCAUAUACAUAUCCUAUUCUAUCCUAUUCCUUCAAAUCCAAAGCAACCUGUAUUUUCAAUGGGAUUUGUUGUGAUGAAUUUUACUGGAUUGUAACAUGUAAAUAUGUUAAAAGAGGCUUGGGACAUUCCUAUAUAGUAACGCAUAAAGGUACUUCCAUUGUGAAGUUGUCAAAAUUGCAAAUUUAAAUUACAAAAUUUGAAAACAUAGAGAUGAAAGAUGAUGAAACCUUCUUUGAAAUUUUAUAUUGAACUCAUUAAUAUUAUUAAUUUUCAUUUCAGUCUAGGGGAAAGAAUUCUUUACUCUAAAGUGGUCACAAAAAUAUUAAAAUUCCUUGUCGAGAGAUUUAGACCUAAAGUGAUCAAUAUAGAAGAAAGUAAAAAUAUUCUAAGUGUAGGUAAACUUGUAGACUCAAAUGACUCUACCUUCUCAUAAAAAAUCCUCAAUUUUAUAAAUUAUAUUGAUUUCUUCAUUUGAUACAAAAUUUGAAUAAAGAUUUUUCAAAUGACAACACAAGGAAAGGGAAAAAAAAAUUCUCUCCAAAUCAUAUUAUUUAAUCACUUAAAUUAUUUAAAAAUAAAAAUGUUUACUGCUAACAUUAUUUAGGUUCAUCUUUCUUUUGAUGGAGGUUAAAAUUCAUAAUUUUGAGGAAAAAGAUGAGGAUUCUCAUUUUUUUUCCAUAUAUGAAUGGGAUUCUCAUUGUGUAUAUGUGGGUUACUAAAUGGCAAAUUUGGGGGCCACCAGAGUCUGCAAUAUGAGGGAAAAAUGAAGUUGAGUUUGUCACCAAGAAUAGACAUGGUUCCUACAAAGGUGGCAUCUUUAAUUUCAUGUUUGGAUUGGACUUGUCAUGUAACAACUUAACAAGUGAAAUCCCUCAUGAACUUGGAAUGUUAAGUUUGAUUCAUGCAUUGAACUUGUCUCGUAAUCAACUAAAAGGCUCCAUUUCAAAGAGUUUUUGCAAUCUUUCUCAAAUAGAGAGCUUAGACCUUUUUAAUAAUAAACUAAGUGGAGAAAUUCCUCCAAAAUUGGUUAGACUAAACUUUUUAGCAGUGUUCAAUGUGACUCACAAUAGCAUCUUCGGAAGAGUUUUAGAUAUGAAUACAUAAUUUGCAAAAUUUGAUGAAAGUAACUAUGAAGCUAAUCCUUUCCUUUGUGGACCACCAUUAAAGAGAAAAUGUAGCAUAAAUGUUGUUGAACCACCUUACCAACCAUUAGAGUCUUCGGAAGAAAGUGAUGCAAAAUGGUAUAAUAUCAAUCUUGUUAUUUUCUUUGCAAAUUUUACUACAUCAUAUAUCAUGAUAUUAUUAGGAAUUUCAACCAUUCUUUACAUUAACCCUUAUUGGUGUCAAAGAUGGUUCAAUUUUAUCGAGAAAUAUAUAUACUUUUGCUAUUAUUUUGUUUCCUAUACUCUUUCCAAGUUAUUAACAUAUUUUGAAUAAUUAGAGAUUUUUGUUUUCAAUAAUAUUUACAUAAUUAACUACUAUUGGCUUCCAUGACAUGGAAAGAAAUGCGAUGAAGGCAACAACCACUUUUUUUUCUCCUCUACUAGUGCAUGAUUGAUAUGAGUUAAAACUUGCACCCUUAUCUUUGCUUAAAUUUUCUCAGCUUUUGUUUCAAUUCUUAAUUAUCAUUUCUUUUAUGUAUUGUUUAAUACAAUAUCCUAAACACAUUGCUUUGAAGGUUACUUAUUUAUUAAGCAUGAUAUUGAUUUUCAUAAAAACAAAUUCAAGUUUUUUAGGAAUUUUUAGAAUUAUUAUAAUUUGGAGUUCACAUUAGAGGAAAAAAGGAAAGAAAAGAAUAGAUGAUUAAAAAAACAAUUUUAGUAAGUAUAAUUUGUCAUCUUCGGUAUAACAAAUGGGAAUUCCAAAAUAAUAUUUCAAUUUGUUAGUCUAUUCCUUAUAGUAUUAAUUGAUAUAUCAAAUAGGAAGUCACGUUUUGAUUUUUUAUUAGCUUGAAUUGCAUGUCACAUAUAUUUUAAAAUCAAGCAUACAUCAGCCGGGAAGUUCUUGUAACAUGCAUGAACAUGAUAUGAUGAAUUGAAUAAUUUUCUUAAUAUAUGUGUAUAUACUACACAUUAUUAAAUCAUAUAUGUAUAUUUAUAGUCGUAUAAUAUAUUUAUAUAAGUAACAAUAAAUUAUAUUGUAUAAGGUAUCGGUAGGAGUUUUCAAUUCCCUCAUACAAUAAUAUCUAUCAAUAAUUGGAUUGGACACCUUGCUGGCCAUGAGAAUGGACUUGACAUUAACACAUAGCCUUGAGUGGUGUUGAUAUUAUUACUUUGAACCAGAACUGCAGUCAUCUCAAAAACUAUAUUAUAUAGAAAAGCAAAAUAAAAACAUUAGUUAAAACAAAUGUCAAGAUCCUUGAAAUCACGUUUCAAUAUGUUAAAUUACCAUUUUUUUAAAUAAAUAUUUUAUAGGUUGUGUGAAUAAAUAUAAUUGCUAUGAAGGUUUCAAUUUAAUUUUACUAGCAAAUCCAUAAUAGGUGAAAAGACAAAACUACCAUUUUUGUUUUUUUUUCUUUAUUUACCUUUUUUCUCUCGUAACCUUACUCCUUUCACCUUUUUGUUUUUUCCUUUUUCUCAACUAACUAUUUUUUUCUUGUAAUUGUUAUUAUCAUUUUUUAUUAUAAAUAUUAUAACCUUAUAUUAUAAAUUUUUAAUUAUAUUUAAACUAACUAAUGUUGUGGUUUUAAUUGACAUGGAAAAGAAUGUGGUUAUACAUGUGAUUGUCGCCUUUUUUUUUUUCCAAUUAGUUAACUAUUGAUACAAGUUAAAAGUAAAAAUUGCAAUAUUAUCUUUAUGUCAAUUUCACCGAUCUUUUGUUUUUAUUUUCAUGUAUCAUUCCUUUUUUGGUUAUUUAAUUAAAAGGAUUAAAAAAAAAAAAUCACAUAUUCACAAGAAUAACCUUCAUAUUUUAAAAACAUAAAUUUUUAUAAAAAUACCCUCCAACUAUAAUUUUUAUAUGUCCCUAUUUCAAAUUCAAACACUUCUUUUAAUAAUAAUAAUAAUAAAAAAGGGCAAAAAUGUCAAACUGGGAUUAUAUUUAUAAUUUUCAAUAAUUAGAGGUUGUUUUUCCAAAGUAAAAAUUAUUUUGUUCCUUUGGCACAAAUAUUUCUUUCUUUUUUGUAUUUUUUUAUUCAAAAUAUUAAACACAUUACCCUCAAGGUUACUAUUUAUUAUGAAUGGUGUUUACUUUACAUUACGACAAAUUCAAAUUUUUUAGAAUUUUUUAAUGUUAAAAUAAUUUGGAGCUUAAUAGGGAAAAAAAGAAUAAAUAAUUAGAAAAGCAAUUCAAAAAAAUAAAAUUUAUCCUCUUAAAUUGGUUUUGUGUAAUACUAUAGAAGCCAUUUCUUGAGUUUGAUAUGGUAGAAUUUGGAUUCAUAUUUAUUUUAAAAUCAAGAAAUUCAAGUGUUGGUAGCAUCAAUAGAAUCUUAAAAAAUUUGCAAAAAAAUAUUUAGGUAGAUCACAUUUAAAUAUAACUAAUAGAAUAAAAAAUUAGUAUUAUUAGGAAGACAUGAUCAAUUAAAUCUUUUUUCUUAUCUAUGACACCGACUUUAUUUUUUUACAUAGUCAAUAUAAUUUAUUACAACUUAUAUGUCAUUAAAUUAUACAUGUUUAUAUUAAAUAUAAUAUAAGAUCAUUAAUGGAAUAAUUAUGCAAGUAAUAUAAAUUGUAUAUAAUAUAAAAAAUUUAAAGUCCAUCAAACUAAUGGAAUCUAUUAUAAUAAGUAGACUAGACACCAUGUUGGCCCGAGUUGGAGGCCUAGGCCAGAUUUUAAAGGCUGGGCUUUGAGUUGCCCGUGGGCCUGAGCCAAGGCCUUCUCUUGGUAUCAUCAUUUUGAAGAAAUAAAUUGCUGAUACAGAGAAAAAAACUAUACUAAAUAGAAAAAUAAAUAAAAGCAUUGACUAAAAUGAAGGCCAAGGUCCUUGAAAAAUAAUCUUAAAAUUGUUGCAUAUAUAAUUUCAAUAAUGCAUAAAUAAUUGCAAUAUAUAUGAUGUGAUAAAGAAUUUGGAAUUAAAAGAAGAUUGAUCUAUUUUAAAUGUGGUUGGAAUAUUUCUAAAUUUGUGAUGGGAAGUUAGACAGCCAAUUAGGGAUCCAUAUUAUUUAUUUUCAAUGAUAUGAAUUUAUUUACUUUUAUUAAUAUUCUUAAUGCAACAAUAUAAAAUAUGUCAAUUUUCUAAAAUUAAAAAAGUAAUUGUAAAAGAAAAUUUUUAAUUAUUUUUAUGAAAUUGAGUUUAUUAUAGCAUUUUUCUUUACAUAAAUUUCUUUUUUAUUUUUAUUUUUUUAAAAAUGAGAUAUGAAAAAAAAAGAUCAAUAUUAGUAAAAGUAAAACCCAAUAUAUAAAAAAUAUGAAUAAAUGUUUAUGAAAUAAGAUUUAAAAGUGAGAAGGUAAUAAUUUUUUUCUCUUUUAAUUCCUAUUCAAUUCAUUACAAAAAAUAUUUUUGGUUUUUAUGCUAAAAUUUAUUGUUUAUUAAAAAAUUCUAGUAUAUCUAGCUAUCAUAGAAGAGCUCCAAAAUUUUAUUGUUUAAGAGAAUAUGUGUUGCCACUUUAAAAGAUUUAUAUGCAAAAGGGAUUGAUAUUUUUUUCCUUUGGAUAUGUUUAGUUCCCGGAAAAUUUGAGGGAAAAUGUGAGGGAAGAAAAAUAGAGAAGAAAAGUAUAACGAAAUAAAAAGUGAAGGAAAAUGAAAAAUAGAUUUAAAGUUAACAAAUUAUUUUCAUUGGUUUUUUCAAACUUAUUUUACUUAUUUUAUUCUAUUAAAUAAAGAUUAACUAAUUUUAAUUAUAUUUGGUUUGAUUUUUAUUAUUUUUCAAAGCAAAACCAAAUAUGAAAAAAAAAACAUUUUUUUUUUUUGUUAUUUUUUUCUUUCCUUAUUACUUUUUAGGACUCAAACAUAGCUUUUAGAUUUGGAGCAUGGAAAGAUAAGAGUAUUGAAUAAUGGUUCUAUAUAUGCCCAUGCCCAUGCCCAUGAUACCAUUGAAAAAAAUGGAGAGAGGGUGAAACCUUUACUAGAUGAUAAAUUAUUCUCUUCAAUGGAAAUCAAAUAUAAUUAUUUUUAUCUUGUAUUAAUUGAAUGUUAUACUCCAUAAACUCAAAAUUAAAAUAAAUAAAAAAUUUAAAAACUAGGACAAUCCCAUUUUUUUUCAAUUUCUUAAAAAGAAAUUAAAUUAUAUUUAUUUAUAUCUAUUUUCAUCCCUACCCAACAAAAUAAAAAAAAAUUAACAAGGUGGGACAUGUAUGAGAAAUUCUCACACUAACUCUCACUAGUUUAUUUUUUUUUAAAAAAAAAAAUAAAAUCAAUUUCUUUUAAAAAAAUUAAACUACAUAAAAAAUAAACAAAUUUUACAAUUUUUUUUAAGAAAAGUAAAUUUCUUAUUUUAUAUAUGUUAAAAAUAAAUAUAAUCUUUUAUUUUUUAUAUAUAUAAUCGGGUAAGGUAGAGUGGGACAAAGAAAUAAUCCCCUUCGAUUCCAAUCCGAAUUUUUAAAAUAUAAAAUAAAAAUCUUAAACUCAUCCCUAAUCCAUUUAUUUUUAAUCCUAAACUUGUCUUAUUAAGAAUAAGGCAAAGUGAGUACAUGAAAACACUUCUUUUAUCAUCAUCUCUACAAGUUCUAAUGUUUAGAUUGCAAUCCAUAUCAAAGAUUUAUAAAGAAAGAACAACAAUGAAUUUCAUAAACAUUUGAAAGCAUAAACAAAGUUUUAAAUAAUAUUGCUUGAGGUGCAAAUAUUAUUUGGCGCACAUGUUGAGGGACUUCAACUGGUGUAGUCUAGGUUUUUUACACUAGUAAGUAAUCUUGAAUAUCUAGAGUAACUUGAUCAAAAUCUCUUUAAUUUUAUUUUCUUUGAUGGUUGUAUGAUGAAUUAGAAUGCUUAUAUAACAUGAUUAAAAAUUUUAAGAAAAAAAAACUAAGAAGAAAGAAAGAAGCAUCGAUCUUCCAAAUAUUGCUUCCACUUUAAUAUCUAGUAGGCUCUAAGAAAAGAACUUUAUUCAUGAAUCAUAACCCAAGUCGAAAAUAAAUUGAACCCAUUUUCUAAGUUAAAUUUUGAAUUUUUUACUAGUGAAUGCAAAUUGGGAAAAUGUAUAUAAAUAUAAUCAAACUAGAAUAGUAGAUUAGGUUUGUAGGUGGAGUUUGUUUGAAUUGUUGGAACUUCCAAGUCGUUGUGGGUCUAGUGGUCCCAUAGCUCUCUAUUAAUUUCCACCAUCAAUUUUUUGCAAUAAAGUCAAGUCAUUCCUAACCCUUAUAUUAAGUUGGCCUUAAAAGUCAAGUCAUUGAUCAUAGUUACAUUCAUGAAUCACAACCCAAGUCGAAAAUAAAUUAAACCCAUUUUUCAAGUUCAACUUUGAAUUUUUUAGUAGUAAAUGCAAAUUGGGAAAACAUAUAUAAAUAUAAUUAAACUAAAAUAGUAGAUUAGGUUUGUAGGUGGAGUCUGCUUGAAUUAUUGAAACUUCCAAGUCAUCGUGGGCCCAAUGGUCCCAUAGCUCUCUAUUAAUUUCCACCAUCAAUUUUUUGCAAUAAAGUCAAGUCAUUCUAACCCCUAUAUUAACUUGGCCUUAAAAGUCCAAUCAUUGAUAGCUAAAUCCCAACCCAAGUCAAAAAUAAAUUGAACCCAUUUUCUAAGUUCAACUUUGAAUUUUUUUUAAUUGGAAAAAUGUAUAUAAAUAGAAUUAAACUAGAAUAGUAGAUUAGGUUUGUAGGUGGAGUUUGCUUGAAUUUGUGAAACUUCCAAGUCGUCGUGGGUCUAGUGGUCCCAUAGCUCUCUAUUAAUUUCCACCAUCAAUUUUCUGCAAUAAAGUCAAGUCAUUCCUAACCCCUAUAUUAAGUUGGCCUUAAAAGUCAAGUCAUUGAUCAUAGUUACAUUCAUGAAUCACAACCCAAGUCGAAAAUAAAUUAAACCCAUUUUUCAAGUUCAACUUUGAAUUUUUUACUAGUGAAUGCAAAUUGGGAAAACAUAUAUAAAUAUAAUUAAACUAAAAUAUUAGAUUAGGUUUGUAGGUGGAGUCUACUUGAAUUAUUGAAACUUCCAAGUCAUCGUGGGCCCGGUGGUCCCAUAGCUCUUUAUUAAUUUCCACCAUCAAUUUUUUUGCAAUAAAGUCAAGUCAUUCUAACCCUUAUAUUAAUUUGGCCUUAAAAGUCCAAUCAUUGAUAGCUAAAUCCCAACCCAAGUCAAAAAUAAAUUGAACCCAUUUUCUAAGUUCGACUUUGAAUUUUUUUUAAUUGGAAAAAUGUAUAUAAAUAGAAUUAAACUAGAAUAUUAGAUUAGGUUUGUAGGUGGAGUCUACUUGAAUUUGUGAAACUUCCAAGUCGUUGUGGGUCUAGUGGUCCCAUAGUUCUCUAUUAAUUUCCACCAUCAAUUUUCUGCAAUAAAGUCAAGUCAUUCCUAACCCAUAUAUUAAUUUGGCCUUAAAAGUCCAGUCAUUGAUAGCUACGUUCAUGAAUCCCAACUCAAGUCAAAAAUAAAUUGAACCCAUUUUCUAAGUUCAACUUUGAAUUCUUUUAAUUGGGAAAAUGUAUAUAAAUACAAUUAAACUAGAAUAGUAGAUUAGGUUUGUAGGUGGAGUCUGCUUGAAUUUGUGAAACUUCCAAGUCGUCAUGGGUCUAGUGGUCCCAUAGCUCUUUAUUAAUUUUCACCAUCAAUUUUCUGCAAUAAAGUCAAGUCAUUCCUAAACCAUAUAUUAAUUUGGCCUUAAAAGUCAAGUCAUUGAUAGUUACGUUCAUGAAUCACAACCCAAGUCUAAAAUAAAUUGAACCCAUUUUCCAAGUUCAACUUUGAUUUUUUUACUAGUGAAUGCAAAUUGGGAAAACAUAUAUAAAUAUAAUUAAACUAGUAUAGUAUAUUAGGUUUGUAGGUGGAGUAAGCUUGAAUUGUUGAAACUUUCAAGUCGUCGUGGGUCUAAGGGUCUUAUAGCUCUCUAUUAAUUUCCAUCGUCAAUUUUUAUGAAUUAAGAUUUAAAAGUGAGAAGGGAAUAAAUUUUUUCUUUUUCAAUUCAUUACAAAAAAUAUUUUUGGUUUUUAUGCUAAAAUUUAUUGUUUAUUCAAAAAAUUAAAGUAUAAAAAUAUAAAAAAAAAUAUAUAUCUUGAUAUUAUAGAAGAGCUCCAAAAUUUUUGUGUUUAAGAGAAUAUGUGUUGCCACUUUAGAAGAUUUAUAUACAAAAAGGAUUGAUGUUUCUCCUUUGACUAUGUUUGGUUGCCAAAAAUUUGAGGGAAAGAAAAUAAAAAAAAAUAGUAAAAAAGAAAAAAUGAAGGAAAAUAAAAAAUAGUUUUCAAGUUAAUAAAUUAUUUUUAUAUGUUUUUUCAAACUUAUUUUACUUAUUUUCUUUCAUUAUAUAAAGAUUAAAUAAUUUUAAAAUGCAUAAUUUCUAACUAAUUUUAAUUAUAUUUAAUUUUUCUUUUAUAUUUUUUAGACGGGAUCCGACACAUGAAAAAAUCCUUUUUUUUAGCAUCUUUUUUUCUUUUCUUAUUACUUUCCAAUAACCAAAUAUAACCUUUAGAUUUAGCCUUUAGACUUGGAGUAUGGAAGGAUACUGAGUAUUGAAAGAAGGUUUUGUAUAUGGCCAUGAUACCAUAGAAAAAAUGGGCGAGAGAGAAAAAACCUUUAUUAAAUGAUAAAUUAUUUUACUACUUACUACAUAAAUAGAUAUUCAUGGAGUGCAUUCUCUAAAAAGCUCCAGUCUCAUGAAAAUGGAAAGAUGGACCGGCCAGUGGACCGGUUCGAGUUUGGAUUUAUGGGCUGCCUCAGCCUAACACGCAUGAUAGGCUGUUGCAGGUGAAGAACUAAUUAAUUUAAAGCCUUCUUCUAUCCUCUCCUAUUCCUCUUUCACUCCAAAUUUUCCACAUGAUAAUGACAAUUCUUUUGUUAAAUGGUAAAAAAAAAAAUUUAACAAUUAAUUUAAAAUCAUUUAUAAAAUCAUGAACUUUGGCAUCCUAAUUAAUGCAAUUUAAACUUUUUUUGUUUACAAAUGAAAUAAGAGGCAACAUAUAAACCCAAAAGUUAAUUUUCCUACCAUCUCUAUGCACCAUUUUAGCUUUACUCCAAUAUAUUUUCUAUGAUUAAUUAUUUUCAUUCAAACAAUAAUAUCAAAAUAUUUUAAAAUUAGACAUAUCAUAAUCAAAUAUCAUUAUAUUAUUAUUGAAUAAUAUUUAAUGUAAUUUAAUAAUCAACGUAUACUUAUAGAAUUUAUAUUUUUUAUUAAUGCAUAUAAUAUUAUUAUCAAAUAUGAUAAAUUAUAUAUAUAUAUUUCUUUAACAAAACAACUUUAAAAUAUCUAUUAUACUUUUAAUUUCAUCUCUAAGAGGUUUUUUUUUUUUUCUUUUUUUUUUUUACAUUUUUAUAAGUUUUGAUCAAUUGUAGGCUAACCAAUAUUUUUUUAUCAAAAUAUCCACCAAUAUAUCUCCGAUAUAUUAGAUAUAUCCGUAACAUCGAAAUACCAAUAUAUCCGCGAUUAUCGAUAUUUUUAUCCUUGAGGGAUAACAACUAAUAUAGUUUUUGCACUUAAUGAUAUUCCUCAACAUUUAGAUUGAUUUGACCAAAAUCUUUUUAAUUUUAUUUUCUUUGAUGGUUAUAUGAUGAAUUAGAAUAGUCAUAUAACAUUAACAGAUUUAAGAAAAAAAGGAUAAAAAAGCUCGUAUUUUUCAAAUAUUGGUUUCAACUUUGAAUAUUUUUAUUGGUAAAUGAAAAUUGUGAAAAACCUACUAAUGCUAAUACUUUUCACCACAUAAUUAAAUAUAAUAAACUAGAAUAGUGAUUCAUUGAUGUCUUAUAAAGACACAUGCCUUCUUUGACUUGUUAGUUGAUUUUUGUAGGUGGAGUCCAUUUCCAUUUGAAUUGUUGAAACUUCCAAGUCCUUGUGGGUCUAGUGGUCUCUCUAAUAAUUCCCACCAUUAAUUUUUUGUGAUGAAGUGCAGUCAUUGAUAGCUACUAUAUCAAUUUGCUAUUAAAAGUCAAGUCAUUGAUAACUAAUAUUCAAUCUUUUUCAAUAUGGAAAUUGGAAUCUCUAGCACUACUCUUCUCAUUGUUCAUUUUUAGGUAAUGUGAGAAUGUGUGAACAUAAAUGUCUUCUAAUCAACCAAUUUUUUUGAAAAAAACAUGUACAAAAUUGCAAAACUUGCAAAAUCAAACUUUCUUGUUGAAUAACCAUAGCUUGAUGGUUUUGAAGAAUCAAAGGAUGAAUCAUAAAAGGGUAUUUGAUAAAAAAUAAAAAUUUAAAAAGUUAAAAGACAACUACUCCCUUAAGUGUAAUAAGUGUAUUUGGUAGCACAAAUUUCCUACCACUUAUUAUUUUUUCCUUUCUUAAAAAAUUAUUUACUCUAUUAAAUAAACUAACCUUGGCUUAGCACUUAUAGCAAAAUAGGUUAAGUAGUUUUUAAAAUUUUAUAAUAUUAGAUUUACAUUUUUAUCCUUCAAAAUUUCAUUAAUGCUAGAUUCUUCUAUAUGCUUAACUAAUAAAUAAUUUUUAGCAUUUUUCUUUUCUUAUAAACAUAAAAAAAUAAAAAUAUUAUUAACUUAUUGGUAUAUUUUAAAAUUUUAAUUAGAUUUAAGCUUUUAUUUGUUUGGAUUACCAAUUAUACAUAUAAAUCCUUUGUUAUUAUUGUUAUUAUUGAAAGAAAGGGGUUGAAUAGGUAGUCCCUCAAUCCCCAAAUUAAAUUCUUUAUUGCCUACUUUUGGUUUAUUCCUUUACAUGAAUUCCUUGGUGAGAGUAAACAUUUCAUUAAUAGAUAAAUAAAAUUGAUUCCAUAUCAUAGGGUAUAAUGUGGAAAAAUCACCAGUCUCAUGUGUUCCUUAGUGGAUCCUUUGGAGCCCUAUCAAAGUUUCAUGAUGAAACCAUUGACUUUUGUUUAACCCAAAUGUGCUUUCAAGACAAAUCUUGAAAGAUUUGAGAGAUGGAGGUUCAAGUCUUUUAUGAACGACCAUGUUCUCUUAGGGUUCAUGAAAUUCACACCUUUUGAUAAAUAAAACUUAUCUAUUUAUACGUCUAAAACCCAGUAUUUAUUUAUUUAAUUAUAGAAAGUUUCUUAGUUUUAAAAACAUUUCAAAAAUCAUUUUUAGAAUCAAAUAAGAAUUUUAGAGAUAAACACAAUAUUAAAAUUUAACAAAAACAAAUUUUCGAAUUAAAAACACAAUAUAAACUAAAUUACAAAAUAUAAAGUAAUUUUUACCCUAAUUUCUUGUUGCAAAACCAAAUGGAACACCUAGAAGGGGAGUGAAUGGGUGAUUUUAAAUUUUUUCAAUAAUUAUUUAUAAGUUAUACCCAAUUCUUUUACCCUGCAAGUUGUUAGGGACUAUCAAUUCUUUCAUUUUGGCAAUUCAAACAAUAUAUCAAAUAAUAAAAAGAUAUAAAUAAUGAGACAUAAAUAUUUUUACGUGGAAAACCCCCCACACUAACCAUGGAGAUAAAAAGCCAUGGAGUCUAAGACCUAUUAAUCUAAAUUCACGGUACGAAAUCAAGUUACACAAAUUUAUUUGACAACUUUACCUUAAAGACUUACUCUACAGUACUGACAACUUGAUUCACAUCCACGACGUAGCAACCCUCGAUUACUCCAAUGGAUCACUUCAAGCUUACUAAAAGGAUGAAGGCCUUCAAACCAAGAUUCAAAAAUCAAUUCCUUGAAUGAGAGAUCAGGAAUGGUGUGCCACUUUAGGCUUUCUCUCUAAGAACUCUAAAAUGAUCUCCUCAAUGAAAACCUUUUAAACAAAAUGAGAUAUUUCUCCACAAUCUCUAACCCUCAAGGGGUUAUAAUGAGAUAUUUAUAAGCAACUAAGUUGAAGAGUUUCGGUUUUGGAAGGUUUCUCAAUUGAAUUUGUGUGAAAAACUCGACAGAAUCAACAUGACCGCUCGAGGCAGCACACUUCCCACUUGAGCGUUUCGGGCACUUGAGCGGUAAGGCUUGCUUGAGUUGUCCUAAGCGCUUGAGCAUUCCAGGCUACUUGAGCAAUCUUGCUCUAUUUCAAAAGUUAAUUUUAAACCAUUUUAAGUUCAAAACAAAAUUGAUUCCCUUUAUACCUCAAAGGAGCCUAACUUGCCACAAACCAAACUUUUUUAGAUAUACUUGUGACUUCCUGGUUGGACGAACAACAACUCUUAAUCUUCAAUGGAGAGCAAGUCACUAUCUAAAAAGAUUUAUAUGGUCAAACAUAAAAAAACAAAAAAAUUGCCAACAUAACAACAAGACUCAAUGUCCAUGCAUGGUCACCUGAAAGGUGACUCCGACCACAAUAUAAUGCAUGUUCUCAUAGAACAUGUGAACAAGAUGGGGAUAGGAAGUCCCCUAGAGAGAAAACAGAGUCUCCUAACCCUACUCUUGAAUGAUGAUAGGGAAGACAGUGUCCUGAAAAGCUUAAAGGUUAAUGGCAUGCUCAGGCUCGACACACCGAUAUGUGAAAGAAGCGUAAUAAUGGUCCCGUGCCACCUGGUAGUGAAAGCGCUCAACCGGAAGUGCAUCUAGGUUAAAAAGACCCUAGAGUGGGAUGCCCUAGACGGUUUCAGUGACCUAGGAAAGGUCACCUCCCUUUGACAUCUAUGACUAGCCAUAUCUAAGGUAUAUAAUAUGAAAAAACAAAAGCUAAAGAAAAUCCAGAGAAAAGCUAAACCACUAAAAAUGUUAAACUCAAUGCGUCGAACAAUACUAUACAAAUGGAAAUGAAAAAUAUGAAGCGAACUGACCUCAGAAGACAAAAGGACAGUAACCCAGAGGGCUCGAAGAGGAAUAGGAAAGAUUGAAAUGAAUAUGGCGUGAUGGAUGACCUUUAUAUAGCUUAUAAGAGUGCUUGAUGCAGAUUAGCACUUGAGCGUCAUGACUAACUUAAAUCAAAUUAUUUAUUAAUAUGGAAAUAUUUUAAAAGUUUCAAAGGAAGUAUUCAAUUUAGAACCUUUUUAGAAUUUUUUUGAAAGAAACAAAAAUAAAGCGUGAAAUAUUAUGUGUUAAAGGUGUUAGAAGACAAUAUUGUCUAAUCCAAAGCCUUACACAUUCCUAAAAAAAAAAAAAAAAAAAAAGGAAAAAGAGAGAUAUUAUAUAAGAUUUUGAUCACAUCUAAUAGAAACUAAUAUUUAGCAACAUAUCACCAAGCACUAUCUUAUCAGAAAGCUCUAACAUGUUGGAAAUUUAUGUAAGGUUCCAUAACAGCUAAAAACUUUUUCUGACGACUCGGUAAUGGACCAUUUGCACUUUAACUACAUUAUUGAAUUUAAAUCAUAUUAGAAUUGUAAUUGACUUCUCUUUUGUGAGACUACAUAUCUUGUAGGAUGGGAUAGGUGAUUCAUUUCAUAUAUGAAAUUUACUUAAUUUAGUAAUGCUUCCAAGUUCAUUAUGAAUCUAAUGGUAUCACAACUCCUUUAAUAUUUGUAAUUUUGUAAUCUUUGUUUCAACUUCUCAAGUCUAGUCAUUUUAUUGGCAUAACUAGUUUGCUUCAAUUAUCUCUCAACUUUAUUAUAAAACUAAGGGAAAGGAUUAUCACGCAUUUUAUAUUAACUUAACCAAACAUCUUUAUAUAUCUUACAUAUAUAUAUUUUUUGUAAAUUUAGGAAAAUUUCAUCCAUUAGCCAUAGUAAGUAAGAAUCAAAUAAGGGAUAUGUAAGCCAAUGGUGAUAUUGAUGGCGUCAAAUCAAUGACAUAGUAGAAAAGUGGAUUGUCUAUUUUCAAACCUUUAUAUUUUCAUCCAAUAGUAAAAAGGUUUAGGCAUCACUUGAAAAGUAGUUCGUUUUUUACCUUGGACUAUGAUUUAUGAAUAAAGUUCUUCUGUUGUAUACCUUUUGUGAUGCCCCAAACCUAAUUUAGGGGUAAAAAAAUAAUUUAGAAAAAAAUAAAUAAAAAGUUAAAUAAAUUUAAUUAAGGUAAAAAUGUAUUUUUGUAUUUAAAAUUCCUAGGUAUCAAUUAUAUAUUUCUUGUCUUCUCUAUUCAAAAAACCCUAUUACACAAAAAUCAAAUAUCAGAGAACAUAGGACAACGCAGGGUUGAAGAUUUGGAGGUUUAGGGUUGAAGAUUAGUUUUCCAGGUAAGAUUCUAACCCUUAAAUUAGUAUUUUAGAUUCGUUAAUUAGUUUGAACACUUUAGAUAUUCUUUGAAAAAUCUGAAUCUACGUUAGGGUUUGUUAAUUUAAUUUUUAAAUAAAAAAGAUUCAAAAUUUAUGAACAUAAGUAGAGUUAUUAUUAAAGAUUGAAAUUUUUUGAAUAUUUGAAUUAAAAAUCUAGAAAAAAAAAGAAGAAAAUAAAUUAUAGCUUUGGAUGUGGAAAAAAGUUAAUAUUAAUAAAUAAAUAAAACUUAUGAGUACGGAGGUAGAAAAAUAUGAGAGUUGAAAGCAAAGAAAAAAAAAAGAGAAUAAGGUUUUGUGGUUGUACGUGUCUCCUUAGUGGAAAAAAGAAAUACAAGGUUGUUUGCAAUAGGAUAUGACAAAGAGAGAGAGAUAAAUGCUUAGAUGUUGAUUUUUGUGGGGAAAAAAAGAUUGGGUAAUGUAGGAGAGAAAUAGGUAGCACUUGUAGAGUUGGUGGGGUUGUUGUAAAAGCUCGUAGGGUAAUUGUUAGGUAGUAGUAGGGUAUGAGAUUAAUUGUUAGGAAACAUUAGGACUUGAAAUAAUAAUAAUUGCUUCUAGUAAAAGUUUUAACUUAGUUUAAGUAUAUAAAAGAAAUAGAUGAUUAGAAUAAGAUUUGGAAGGAAUAUGAAUUCAUAAAAAUUUCGAAAUUUACUAAUUUAGAUUAUUAUUUUUUUGGAAGUUGAAUAUAAUAUAGGUGGUAAUAUUAUUAAUAUAGGAAAUGAUUAAGAUUCUCAAACCUACAAUUUUAGAUAAAUAGUUAAUAGUAAUAGUUGAUUUUUUAUUUUUUUUAUUUUUUAUUUUUUAUGUUAUGUUAAGUGAAUAAUGGAUUCUUUGAUUAAUUCUCUAAGGUUUCUAAGUGCUUCUUUAAGAUAAGGGAUAUUAAUACUGAUUUUGUAAAUGAAAAUAUUUCUUUUUAUAAGUUAUUUUAAAUUAUGAAAAAUUUUAUUUUUAUUUAUGCAUGGAUCAAAUAUAUAUUUUUUCAUGAGAAACAUGUUUGGGCAAUUUCUUUGUUUAUAAAUAAAUAAAUAAAAAAUGAGAACUUUGGAAAUAUAAUGUUUUGUUUUGCAAGUUUAAAAUAAUGAAAUAAAGUUUUUGACUCUGGUUUAUAUGACCUUAGUUAAUGGGUUAUAAUUGUUGACAUUUUCAGCUCUCCAAUCAAUGAUUAUAAUUGUUGAGAUUUUCAACCCUAGCCAACGGGUUAUAAUAGUUGACCUUAUAGCCCUAGUCAACAGAUAUAAUUGUUAACCUUUCGUUUUUCCCAUCUUAAAAAGAACAAAUUUAAGGCUAACCAUUUAUUUGUAAAGUCCCACCUAACUAAGUACCAUUUGUUAUUUAAUAACCAGAGUAAAGAUAUUUUGAAUGUAUUUGAUAUGAAAUUAUUUUGAUAUAAAUAUGAAAAUGUUUGGUUGAAAAGUUCAAAUGUUUAAUGCAUGUUGAAUUCAAAAGUUUUUAUGAAAAUGAUUAUAUGUUAUAUCUCCUAUUUGUAAGUUUGAUCCAUAAAACUGUAUUAAUAUUCCUUAUUGGACUUUGAGCUCAUUCCCCUUUGUUGAGAAUUUUUUUUGGUAUUCUCAGUUUGGGCAAGGAGUGAUGACUGGGUUGGGGAAUUUUCUUUACUAUGAUUUUGGUUCAAUCUUUAUUUUGGACAUUGUAAUUUAAUUCCCAUUUAAAUUAUUUGGGUUUGGAGUUAUUUGGACGAUAACACUUUGAUUGAUGUGUUAGUUUUAAAGUUGAGAAUUGAAAAUUAUAGAAUUUAUUUAUCUUUCUACUUUGAAUAGAAAUUUAGUAAUUGGAGAUCAUCCAGUUACAAGAUGAAUAUUAGAUGAAUAUUUGUGUCGUUUCCACAUUGAGUGUUCAGGCUUAGGGUGUGAAAUGACCGUUAUGCCCUUGGAGUGGGUAUAUUGUUUAUUUGAAUUUAAUGGUCCCCGAACUCCUUAAUUACUCAUAACUUUAUAUCACCUUCUCAAAGUUAAGUUGUUUUACAACUACUAUCUAGCUACUUUUCUCUACUAUGACAACUUUAUUACAUAGUGAUUAAUUGAAAGAAUCUACAUGUCUUAUUUCAUAGGAUAGUUGAUUUUUUUACUCAAUGAAUCUUGCUUUUAUUAUUGAAAAUUUCAAAUCAUUGUAGUCCAACAAUUUACUAUCCUUUGGUAAUUUCAUAUUACAUUUCCAAAGUCUAAUCAUUUAAAAACACUUGUAGUUAAUAUAUUGGCAAUUGCAUUGUGGGAAGUUGUUCACUUGAUUUUAAUGUUGAAACUUUCAAAUUGUUGUAGUCCAACAAUUCCCUAUCCAUUGGUAAUUUCAUAUCACAUUUUCAAAGUAUAAUCAUUUACAAAUACUUGUAUAUAGUAUAUUUGGUGAUUGUAGAGUGGAAAGUUGAUCGUUUUCAUGAAGACCUCUAAAAUAGAAAUUUUUUUCAUUCCAUUUAAUAAAGAAUUUCAUUAAUUGAACAUAUAUGUUUUUUUAACCGGAAAGUAGAGGCCACAUUAUACGAGGCCUUAGGUGACAAUACUAGGUGAGGGUUUUUUUUUUUAAUUUAUUUAUUACUAAAUAUAAAUAAUAUUAUUUAUUGUAUAAUAAAGAUUAUUAUAAUAUAUUUUUUAUAGAUGAAAAAAAUAUUAAUUGAGUUUUAUUUUUUUAAAAUAAUUGUUUUCAAUAAAUAACUUAUUUGUAAAAAGAAAACUAUAAAAUAUAUGCAUUUGAAAAAUAUUUAAUUUUUAUUUGAUUUAGUAUCAAUUAAUAUUUGUAAUAUUUUUUAAUAUUAUAGAAGUUAACAUACUCAAUCAAGAUAUUCAAGAUCAAGAGAAUAUUUAAGAUUGAAUUAAUUUCUUUAUUGUUUAUGUUUUAGUAAAUUUUUAUAUCCAUUACAAAUUUUUUAUUGUUUAUUUUUCAUUCAAUGUUUGCAUUUUUUAAUAGAUAUUAAAACGAUUUUUUUUCUUGUAUGUUAAAAAAAUAUUUCAAUGUCUUUAAAAAUAAAAUAUUGCAGUAAAAUCAAAAUUACAUUGUGAAACUUUAAGCGAAUGUUUUAUACUUAAGAAGUGCCAAUUAAAGUAAGCAUGCAUCUACAAUUGUAAUUUAGAUGUCAUACUGAAACAAUAGUUCUCUUUGACUAUAUCAUAAAAUUUGGUUCGAAUUACUUUAAGUCGUCUUGUAGAUUUUCAAGUUCCAAUGAUAUGCAUCAAGUAUGUGCAACAUACUUGAUAUAACUAAUAUUUUCUUAAGUAAUUGGACACUUUUUUCUAUAAAUUUACUUGAUUAUCAAUGAAUACUUUUAUGUAAGGUAUUGAUAUAAUUCGAUAAAUAUUUUAAAAUAGUAUUAGAAUAGCUUUGCUCUUUCCCAAUUAACAAAUUUACUAAAUUAACUUAUAUAUAUUUGUUUAUUUGAAUUUACUGGUAUUUGACUCAAAUUGUUAUUAUUUUUAAAAUUAUAGGAAAACCAUUAUUUAUAGAGUUUAAUUAUAUUUGGUAAAUUAUCUUUUUAAGUUUGGCUAGGAUUAGGAAACUAUUAAUUUAAGAUUAAUCCAUAAGGCUCUAUAAAUUUGCAGUUUUAUUUAGGAUUUAAAAAAAGAAAGAAAAAGUAAGAAAAAGUGAAGAGAGAUAGGCAAAGAGUGCAUUGGGUUUUAAAUAAAGAAAGGUUGAGAGAGUUUUGAUUACUACUCAAAAAGAACAUAUUUUAGAUAGUAAUUCUCAUGGGUUUCACAUCUUUUGAGUAUUAAUUAUGCCUAAAAAUGCUCAAUUAACAUGUUGUUGCCUUUGCAAGAGUUACUAACAAGUUUUAUAAAGUUUUGGAGUCAUUUCAAGUUAUGAUUUUAAUAAAUUGGUGACGAAAGAGAUGAAUUGAUUUGAAGAAGGCAAAUAAUAUUGAUGAUGAUCCAAAUGCAUAAUGAAAGAAGCAAUAUAAUUAGUUUGAUCGGGAUUUGCUGCUAAUUUGGAGGUAGUUAAGGUGGAGUCAAAAGAAGAAAAUGGAAGAAAUGACAAAGAGGAGCUUAAAAACCAAAUGUUGCAGAUUUGUAUGAUCAUGCAAAAAUUACAUGACUAUGCGAAAUGGAUUAGAGAAGGAAAAUUGACUAUAGUAUAAGGAGGAUGCUUAAGUUGAUUUCGCAUGAACAUGCGAAAAUUUUGCACAAUCAUGCGAAAUGGUCCAGAAAGCUCUCUAAUGUUGUUGUUGCUCCACUAAUUUCACACCACCAUGCGAAAUUGAUCUUUUCAUGCAAAAUGGCUGAAGCUCAUGUGAAAUCAUGAUUUUGAUGCUAAACUCUAGAUUUGUGAAUUUGGAAGGUUUUAGAAGAUCAAUGAGAAGUUGCCAAGUGUCCACUUGACCUUGGUCUAUAAAUAGAAACUUGAAUUUCCCAUGUAAAGAGCUUUGUGAUACUUUUGAUUUUAGAUUUUUCUAGGAACUCUUUCUCUAAAUAGAAUUCUAUAUUUUCUUUAAUUUUCUCUCAUUUUCUCAUUCGCCAAACAUGCCUAGUGAGACCAAAUCUCCAAGUAUGAGUGGCUAAAUCUCGUUUUUCUCAAAGGAAUGAGGAUCUAGAGUCAAGAUCUAUGGUGAAUUAUAGAAAUGAGUUUUAAUCGGAAAUGCAAUUUGAUUCAAUUGAUUGAUUAAUUGAAAUUUGAGGAUUUUUCUCUUCAAAUUAUCCUAAAUGACUAUUACAUUGCAAACUAGGUAGAUUCAUUAAAUUCUUAAAGCUAGAUUUAAUGAGACUGAAUAGUUGCAUUGUAUGAAUCAUUGGAAGAUAAUUUAAGAUGAAUUGAAUAUAUAAUUUAAAUUGAUCUCUUGGAUUAAAUAACCUAAUUUGAAGAGAAAUUAGGUUUAGACUUAAAGGUAAAUCUAAAAUCGAUUUAGAUAAGAAUUUAGGUUUUCAAUCUAACUUGAUGAAAAAUAAAUCUCAACAUCUAUUCACCAUGGAAAUUGUUUUCUAAAAAAUAUUAACUCCGAGAAUUCCUUUUCCUUAUCAAUUUUCUUAUAUUCUACAUUAUAUUGUUCUUUUCGAUUAGAAAUCAUUGUUAUUUUGAUUUUUCAUGAAUUGUCAAAUCAAUUUCACUUGACCAUAAUCAUUUCUUUUCCUCCCAUUUAAGCCUUAAUUAUCGAGAAUAAUCCAUCCCAAUAGAAGACACCUAAGACCACUAUACUACCGUAGCUUUUGCUAAAAAACCUUUUUGAUCGGGCAAGAGUUACCUUAGCAUAGUUGAAUUAGGUUAUAAUUUUUUUAUCCAAUAAACAACAAAAAAAAUCAAUCGAUCAAGUUUGCAUUGUGUAUUCUUGAAUUUUAUUAAUAAAUUUGAUCCCCCUUUUUGAAGCGAUUACACCAAACCAAGUAAAUAUUUUAUAUACUUCAUUUGCUUUAUUUUUUCUAUUAAGUUUAGGUGUUGCAAUUUUCAAGAGUCAUGGUGAGAAGAUUGUGGGAAAAAUUAUUUUAAGGAUGGAGUCGAACAUAAAAUAUGAAAUUGAGUCCUUUGAUGGAAAUAAUAAUUUUAAUAUUUGAUAGAGUAUUAUUAAAGAUGUUUUGAUACAACAAAGACUUCUCAAAGCAUUACAAGGCAAAAAAACUAGAGAGCAUGACAAAUAAAGAAAUGAAAGAAUUAGAAGCAAGAGUUGUAAGUACUAUUUGUUUAAGUCUUAAAAAUGAAAUACAUUGUUUUGAAUGAAAAAAAUAUUCUUUUAGGGGUGUCAAUUGCUCUUUUAGAGACCAAAAAUAUUAAGCAGUCAAGUAGUUCAUCUCAUAUUGGACAAACUGUUAUGAUGAAUUCUAAACCACAUCAUCAUAGGAGUAAAUCGAAAGAAAGUAUCUGAUAGGAGGAUGAUCAUUCCAUUCACACUUAUGGAGGAAUAUGAAGUAUUAUUACUGUGAAAAAAAAAACAUAUCAGGAGAUAUUGUAAAGAAUUGAUGAAGUACCUAGAAGAAAUGAAAAUUUUUAAAUCCCAAGAGACUUCAAAUUUUACUAAUAUUGUUGAUGAAAAUUUUGAAAUAUUGUAGUAAAUUAAAAGUUACAUUAUGGGACUUUUAGUGAGUGUUUUAUGUUGAAGAAAGGCUAAUUAAAGUAAACAUGCAUCUAAAACUAUAAUUUAGAUGUUGUACUCAAAUAGUUGCUCUCCUCGAUUAUAUCAUAAAAUUUGGUUUGAAGUCUAAGUCAUCUAAUAAUUUUCUAAUUCAAAUUGCAUGCAUCAAACAUGUGUGUUAGGAAGUGUUGCAAAUUACUAAUUAAUAUAGAUUCUUUUUUUUUUUAAAGAAUAUUGUAUUGAAUAUUUCUAGGUUGAUAUAUUAUUGUAAUAUUAGACUUUCUUAUAGAAUAAGGAAGGUUGUUGAAAAUAUCCCUAUAAAUAUUCUAGUUCAUAAGGGGAAAAAGUUAUGAGAUGAAGAUGGACCCAUAAAGACUAUACAAGGUGGAUAGAGACGUGAAGAAAAACGAGAGGUACCCGGUGGAGCGAGAGGGCUCGUGGUAGGGUAUAGGUACAAAGAGUGAGAAAACAUGGGAUGUUUUGGGAACCCAAUAAUUGUAUCUGGUUAUGUCCUCUAUAAGUUCUAGUCCUGUCAUCUGCAUUGUUCUCUAUUUUAUAGUGGAAUGAUUCUCUUUUAUCUGUGGACGUGGGCAUGGUUUUCGAACCAUGUUAAAACCUUGUGUACCGUUUGUGUUGAUUUUUUUUUUUAUCUUUAUUUUAUUGAUUAAUGAAGUUUGCAUCAAAGCUUCUGUCAACGUAACAAACUUGUAUCAAAGCUUGGGUUAAAGAUUUCUAGAAGAGUAAAAGAUCAUAGAGCACACAAGAUGAAAACAAAAGGAAUUUUUAGUGAAAAUGGAGUCAAUUGCUCUCUCAUGGUGAUAUGAUAUAAAAAGUUUGUGUCAUGGAAAGUUUGAAGAUUUACUUCAUGGAAUCUGGUCCAAAAUGGAGAUUGUUAAUAAGUAUCCCAAAUUCCUAAUUAGUUUAGAUUUUUUUUUUUUGUAAAGAAUAUUGUAUAGAAUAUUUCUAGGUUAAUAUAUUAUUGUAAUAUUAGACUUCCUUAUAGAAUAAGGAAGGUUGUUGAAAAUAUCUUUAUAAAUAUUCUAGGUCAUGAGGGAAAAAAGUUAUGAGAUGAAAUGGGCCUGUAAAAACUAUAUGAGGUGGAUAGAGAUGUGAGGAAGAACAAGAGGUACUCAAUGGAAUGAAAGGGCUCGUGGUAGGGUAUGGAUACAAAGAGUGGGGAAAUAUGGGAUGUUUUGGGAACCUAAUAGUUGUAUCUGGUUCUGUCAUCUAUAAUGUUCUAGUUAUGUCCUCUAUAAUUGAUUCGUUCCCAAUUGGUGUCUCAGCUGAUUCAUGUCCUCUCCAUGGUCCCUGAUAGUGGUGCCAUUUGAUUCAUGUCCAGCUGGUGUCCCUUGAUUUUGGUCUUCAGGGAGUAAUCAACAAAAUUUAUAACCUAUUACACCAUGUACUAGGAUAGCCUUAGCUAGCAUAGCAUAGUGGCUCUAGGGUCGUUCACUGGGAUGGGUUUUCACUUCACAAUUGAUAUUAAUUCAAAGAUGAAUUGGUGCUUUUUCAUUUCAAGGUUAGCUUUAAAAGAAAACAUAAAGAUGUUUGAAUGAAAAAGGUUUUGUUUUAAACUAACCAAAAAUAAUAACUGAUUUUACUUACAAAGAAAAGUGUUUCUUGGAGUUUAGAUCACUGGGCUCAGAUUCCUUGUACAAAAAGGGAGUUCCGGUCACUUGUUUCUUUUCCUCGCAUUAGAGAAUUAACAUAUAGUUAAUUCUCUAACCGGUGUGGUACAGAUGCUUCCCCUUAAUGGGUUCAAACACUAAAUCCCUCUCACUGAUGCAACUUGCAAUGGCUCGUGCCUCUCACCUAGCAUUUGCCAUUCAAGGUGAUCUUUAACCUUGGAUUACCCUUCACAAGCUCGCAAGAGAUAACUAAUGGAUGUCUCCUUAGAGUCCAAAAGCUUACCAAGUGUUGGCAAUUCUAGAAAAUCAUACCUUCAAACCACCUCCCAAAAGCUCGCAAGAGGUAAACCAGUGCAUCUCCAUUGACGGAGAUCACUUGCCUAACCAAGUGUUGGCUCAAGUGAAUUGAAGGUGUUUUAAGUUAACUAAAAAGAUAAAAACCAUUAACGGGUCACACUUUCUCUUCAUUAAAAACUAAAACAACAAAACUUCCAAUUUAUGCAUGAGGAAACUUACCCGGCUUUCUUUCACUCCAAGAGACGAAGAGCCUAGCCUCUCAUCCUCUGAGAAAAAAUCCUCAGAGUUUGAUUGGCUAGAAAGAAAACUAACGAGAAAACAAAAAUAUAUAUAAGAAGCAGAGCAAAAGCUCUGUUCGUUGAUUACAUAUAUGAUAUAUGAUAUAUGAUGGAUCCUCUUCUUUACAUUGGUUCAAAGAUAUAUAUAGAGAAGAUAUUUUCUAAGAAAUAUCCCAAUAAUAUCUUUGACUAAUUACAAGGAGAAAAUAGAAAUUUACACAAAAUAUCUUGAGAGAAAAAAUCUAACUUAGUCGGUGGCAAAUAUCAGGAAGCUUCAGGAGAAUAUCGCGUCACUGUGCAAAAAUCCGGGUAAUCUGAAAUGCCGGCCGCGGAUGCUCUCCGGGUUAGCGCUAUUAGAAGAUCCGGACAUGCCUGUCUGGGGAGGUUGAAAUGCCUCUUCUUCCAUCCGGCGUCAGGCGUCGGAUUUGAAAUAUCUGAUCAGAGGAUCCUGACAUGUCUGACCGAACAGAAUUUCAGAUGUGAGAUAUCCGGACGUCGCAAGGGGGACCGUUUGCGUGUACAAGGUGUAGAGACCCUUCCCCCUGAUGACACGGAGCACGCAUCGCUAUCCAGAGCAACUCCAUCCGGAUUUCCCAAGAGGACACGCACCGCCAUGCUAUCCGGCACUCGUGAACAUCACACUCCGGAUGAUAGCAUAUCCUAUCCGGAUAUGUUGUCUGGAUCAUUGACUAAAGUGAGCAAGCCUUACUACAGCCCACGUUCCGCCGCUCUUCCAAUGGUGUGUCCGGACGCCCUGUCUGGACAUCUUUUUCCAUGGAUUCCAAAGAACUCUCCUCAAUCUCGGAUUGCUUUGGUGAUAAAAAAGCUAUCAAAACACCAAAACUUAACACAAUUUGAUUAGAAUUGAUUGCAAGGGUCCUUAAUAUGUUAAUUGGGUUAAAAAGUGAUAACUACUACUCAAAAGUGUUUAAAAGAGUUAAUUACAAGCUAUGAAAUAACACUUUUUGAGUAGUAAUCAAUAAUGUUCUCUAUUGUAUAGUGGAAUGAUUCUCUUUCAUUCGUGGAUGUAGGCAUGGUUGUCGAACCACAUUAAAACCUCGUGUACUGUUUGUGUUUUUUUUUUAAAAAAAAUUAAUCUUUGUUUCUUGAUUAAUGAUGUGUGCAUCAAAGCUUCCAUCUACGUAACAAACUGGUAUCAGAGCUUGGGUUGAAGAUUUUUGGAAUAGUAAAAGAUCACAAAGCACACAAGAUGAAAACAAAAGGAAUUUUUAGUGAAUGUGGAGUCAAUUGUUCUCUCAUGGUGAUAUGAUACAAAAAGUUUGUGUCAUGGAGGGUUUAAUGAUUGACUCCAUGGAAUUUGGUCCAAGGUAGAGAUUGUUAGGAAGUGUCCCAAAUUCCUAAUUAGUAUAGAUUUUUUUUUUAUAAAGAAUCUUGUAUAGAAUAUUUCUAGGUUGAUAUAUUAUUGUAAUAUUAGACUUCCUUAUAGAAUAAUGAAGGUUGUUGGAAAUAUUUUUAUAAAUAUUUUUAGUCAUGAGGGGAAAAAGUUAUGAGAUGAAGAUGAGCCUAUAAAGACCAUACGAGAUGGAUAGAGAUAUGAGGAAGAAUCGAAGGUACCCAGUGGAGCAAGAGGGCUCGUGGUAGGGUAUGAAUAUGAAGAGUGGGGAAACAUGGGAUGUUUUGGGAACCCAAUAGUUGUAUCUAGUUUUGUCAUCUAUAAUGUUCUGGUUCUGGCAUCUAUAAUGUUCUGGUUUUGUCCUAUGUAAUGUUCUUUAUUGUAUAGUGGAAUUAUUAUCUCUCAUCUGUGUAGACAAGUUGCUAAACCACGUUAAAACCUCGAAUACCAUUUGUGUUGAUUUUUUUUAUCUUUGCGUUCUUGAUUAACGAUGCUUGCAUCAAAGCUUCUACCAACGUAACAAUGUGCAACAUAUUUGAUAUAACUUAUAUUUUCUUAAGUAAUUGAACACUUUUUCUAUAAAUUUACUUGAUUAUCAAUGAAUACCUACAUAUACGGUAUUGACAUAGUUUGAUAAAUAUUUUAAAAUAGUAUUAGAAUGGCUUUUCUUUUUCCCAAUUAACAAAUUUAUCAAAUAUAUACAUACACACACACACACACACAUAAUACUCAUUAGUAUGUCUUUUAUGAAAAAACUAUAUUUGUUUAUUUGAAUUUAGUAGCCAUUCAACUCCUUAGUUACUCAUAAACUUUUUAUCACCUUCUUAAAGUCAAGUCAUUUACAAUUAUUUCUAUCUAGCCUUCUCCAUUAUAACAACUUUAUAAGAUAGUGAUUGAUUGGAAGAAUCUACAUGCCUUUGUUGAUAGGAUAAUUGUUUUUCUUUUUUUUUCGUAUUCAAAGAAUCUUGCUUCUGUUAUUGAAACUUUCAAAUCCUUUAUGUCAAGUUGUCUUAUAAUUCCCUAUUCAUUGGUCUUUCAUAUUACCAAUCAUUUUGAAAAUGAGUUAAUUUCAUUCACAUCCUCUGAGAUUUGAUGUAAAUUCGCUUAGUUACCAAUGAUUUCAAAUUUCAUUAAUUAGUACCCCUAUAGAUGUAAUUUGUGUACAAAAUUUAUUUUUUAAAAGAGUUUAGGUAAAAAUAUUUUAGGUAUAUGUCUUUAACAAUUCUCUAAAAUAAAUUUUACUUGCUAAAAAAUAACUUAUAUAGAUAGAAUACAUCUACAGGAGUUCUAACUAACGAAAUUUAAAACUAAUGGUGGUUUAGUGUAUUUAAACUAAACAUUAGGAAGGGUGACUGAAAUUAACCCUCUAGGUAUAUAUGUUUAACAAAAUUUUUAUUGUUUAUUUUUCAUUUAAUGUUUGCAUUUUUCAAUAAACAUUGAAAAGGAAUUGUUUUUCCAUAUGUUAACAAAAAGAAAUUUGAACACCUAUAAAAAUAAAAUCUUGUAGCAAAAUUGGAGUUACAUUAUCAGACUUUUAAUGAGUGUUUAUGUUUAGAAAGACCAAUUAAAGCAAGCAUGCAUCUAGAAAUUGUAACUUAGAUGCAUCAAACAUGAGCAACAUAUUUGAUAUAACCAAUAGUUUCUUAAGUAACUAAACACUUCUUUUUCUAUAAAUUUACUUGAUUAUCGAUGAAUACUUACAUAUAUUUACAUAGUUUGAUAAAUAUUUUAAAAUAAUAUUAGAAUAACUUUGUUUUUUCUCAAUUAUAUUAGAAAAUAAUAUAAAGUUACUUAUAAACUUUAUAUCAUUUUCUCAAAGUCAAGUCAUUUACAAUUAUUUCUAUCUAGCCUUCUCCAUUAUGACAACUUUUAUAUGAUAGCCGUUGAUUGGAAGAAUCUACAUGUCUUUUUUGAUAGGAUAGUUGUUUUUAUUUUUUUAUUUUUUUUAUUCCAAAAAUUUGCUUCUAUCAUUGAAACUUUCAAAUCUUUUAUGUAUAUUACCAAUCAUUUUACAAGUGAGUUAAUUUCACUUAGGGUAGAUAUACUUAGCCACACCCCUAUAGAUGUAAUUUGUGUUUAAAUUUUAUUUUUUAUUUAGGUAAAAAUAUCUUAGGUAUAUGUGUUCAACAAUUCUCUAAAAAAUAAAUUUUCUUAUCUAAAAGUUUAUAUAGACAAAAUACAUCUAUAGAAGUCCUAAUUAAUGAAAUUUAAAAUUAAUGGUUGUUUAGUGUAUUUACAUUAAACCUUAUGGGGUAUGAUUGAAAUUAACUCUUUUACAAGCACUUGUAGCUAAUAUGUUUGUAGUUGUAGUGUUGGAAAUUGAUCAUUUUCUUGAAGGCCUCUAAGAUAUUGAAAAUAUUGCCAUAGUUUUAGACUUUUUUUUAUUACACCUAAUAAAAAAUAUUAUUAAUUUAACAUAUAUAUUCUUGACUUAAAAGUAAAGUCUCUCCAUAUUGUAUAAGCCCUUAGGUGGCAAUAUUAGGUGAAGUUUUUCUUUCGUUUAUUACAAAAUAUAAAUAAUUUAUUAUUGUAUGAUAAAAUUUUAUGUAAUAUAUUUUUAUAGAUGUAAAAUUAUUAAUUGGGUUUUUUUUUUACUAAAUUGUCAUUUCAAUAUAUAAAACUUAUUUGUAAAAAGACAAUUAUAAACUAUAUGAAAUUGAAAAACAUUUAGUUUUUUUAUUUAAUUUAGAAUUUUAUUUGGAUUAAUAAUUGAUAUUUGUAAGAUUUUUUAAUAUUAAAAAAAGUUAGCAUACUUAAGAAAGAUAUUCAAGAUCGGGAGUGUUUGAUAUUGGAUUAAUUUCCUUAUUUUCUCUAUUUUAAUAAAUUUUCACGUCCAUUACAAAAUUUUUGUUGUUUAUUUUUCACUUCAAUAUUUUUAUUUUGUAAUAGACAUUUGAAAAGAUUUUUUCCUACAUGUUAAAAAAAAAAAUAUUUGAACACUCCUAAAAAAGAAUAUUGCUAUAAAAUUAAAGUUUACAUUGUAGGACUAUUAGCAAAUGCUAUAUACUUAAAAUAGACCAAUUAAAGUAGAAAUACUUCUAAAAUUGUAAUUUAGGUAACAAUAAUAUAAAAAGAUAAUAUUUUUGAAACAAUAGUUCUCUUGGAGUUUUGGGUACGAUGGACUAGACUUUAUGUACAAUAGAUAUACAAACUUUCCAUUAACAUCUUGAGAGACAUGAUGAGGAGCAAAGUCAUCCAAGAAGGUACCAUAGAGGUACCUUAGCUCCAUUCAUCUAGACUACAUAAUGUUUAAAGAUCAAAUUCAAUGACUAGAUUUCAAAAAUCAAUAUAAGCUUUCUCAUAUUCUACUCUAUAUAAGACAAUGGUAUGAUACCUCUCUUGUGUCGUAGAAUGCACCAUGAAAACCUUAUCAUUUUAACAUCAGUUUGAAACUUAAAAGUCACUUAGCACAUUCUAGUUAUUAAUCUAAGAGCAUUAAAAGAAAAUAUAAAAAAAGUUACUUUAUCCUUGUGAUUUUGAUUUAGGACUUUUAAUGAUAUUAAAAAAAAAAAACAAAACAGAAAAAUAAAUGGAAAUAAAAUCAACAAAUUAAACAAUUGAAUUAAGUUAGUUUAAUUCUUGCAUCGUUAAAUGGGUAAAUAAAGACUCUUAGAUUUGAUAUUAAUAUGAACAUCAUGACUUCAGUGAAUCUUACAAGAAAAUUUUAGUUUGAAAGACUUCAUUCAUUAAACGUGUGGCACAUAUUAAAGUAAAACUAAGUCUUCUCUAUAAUUUGUACCUAUCAUAGUUUCUUUCCUUAUAAAUAGCCUUUUUUGAAUAUAAUAUAGACUUCAACAUGCAUGGUGGGGCCAAUCAAACUACUAGUCAAGACAACUCAUGGGCAACAACGAUGUACCAACUACAUUUAAAUACUCUUCAUCUAUUUACAUAUCAAGAGUAAUUUAGUAGUGUCUUAUUUAUGUACCUCAUAUCUAGACUUUCAAUGGAGAGUUCUUCAUCUAAAAAUUUGACUUGGGUUUUCAUACUAGUUUUGGUUUAGACAUGUGGAUGCAAAGGUUGCAUCAAAGAAGAGAAGUAGGCUAAAUCAUCUUACAAAUUUUAUAGUUCAAAUUAGAUGCACCAAACAUAUGCAACAUAUUUGAUAUAACUAAUAUUUUCUUAAGUAAUUGAAUACAAUUUUUUUUUUAAAUUUACUUGAUUAUUAAUGAAUAACUACAUGUAUGGUAUUGACACAACAUGAUAAAUCUUUUAAAAUAGUAUUAGAAUAACUUUGCUAAAAAAAAGUAAAAAUAAAAAUAAAAAUACAUCUAUAUAUAAAAUUAAAUUAAAUUAAAAAUUAAAAAAGAAUAUAUAUUCUCUGUGUGUGUGUGUGUGCAUGGUCCCACAACUCAUUAGCUACUCAUAAGCUUUAUAUCACUUUCUCAAAGUCAAGUCAUUUUGUAAUUAUUUCUAUCUAGCCUUCUCCAUUACGACAACUGUAUAGGAUAUUGAUUGGUUGGAAAAAUCUUCAUGUCUUUUUUUAUAAGAUAGUUUUUUUAUUAUUAUUAUUAUUCAAAGAAUUUGCUUUUAUUAUUGAAACUUUCAAAUCCUUUAUGUCUAGUGGUCCUACAAUUCCCUAUUCAUUGGUAUUUCAUAUUACCAAUCAUUUUACAAAUAAGUUUAUUUCACCCGGUAAAUAUACUUAACUACUAAUGGUUUCAAAUUUAAUUGAUUAACACACUUAUAGAUGUAAUUUGUUUUUAAAUUUUAUUUUUUUAGAAGAAUUGUAGGUAAAAAUGUUUUAGGAAUAUGUGUUCAAUAAUUCUCUAAAAACAAUUUAUAUAGAUGGAAUACAUUCAUGUAAGUUCCAACUAAUGAAAUUUAAAACUAAUGACAAUUUAAUGUAUUUGCACUAAAUCUUAGGGGAGGUGUACUAAAACUAGCCCUUUUACAAAUAUUUGAUAUGAAAUUAAUUAAUUAAUUUUUUCUAUUUAAAUAAAUUUUUGCAUCCAUUAAUAAAAUUUUAUUGUUUAUUUUUCACUUCAAUAUUUUUAUUUUGUAAAAUAAAUAGAAAUAAAAUCAACAAAUUAAAAAAUUGAAUUAAGUUAGUUUAAUUUUGCCACCUUUAAAUUGGUAAAUGAAGACUCUUAUAUUUGAUAUUAACAUGAACAUCAUGACUUUAUUGAAUCUCACAAGAAAAUUUUAGUUUGAAAGAUUUUAUCCUUUAAACAUGUGACACAUAUUAAAGUGAGACCAAGUCUUCCCUAUAAUUUGUAUCUAUCACAAUUUCUUUCCUAAUGAAUAGCCUUUUUGAAUAGAAUAUAGACUUUAGCAUGCAUGGUGGGGCCUAGCUAUCAAACUACUAGUCAAAACAACUCAUGGGCAAGAAUGAUGUACCAACUAGAUUAAGUAUUCUCCAUCUAUUUGCAUAUCAAGAGUAAUUUAGUAGUAUCUUUCUUGUGUACCUCAUUUCUAGACUUUCAAUGGAGAGUUUUUUAUCUUAAAAUUUGACGUGGGUUUUCAUACUAGUCUUGGUUCAGAUAUGUGAAUGCAAAGGUUGCAUCAAAGAAGAGAAGUAGGCUAAGUCAUCUUACAAAUUUUCAAGUUCAAAUUAGAUGCAUCGAACAUGUGCAACAUAUUUGAUAUAACUAAUAUUUUACCAAGCAACUAAAUACUUUAUAUAUAUAUAUAAAUUUAUUGAUGAUCAAUGAAUACCUACAUGUAUGGUAUUGACACAGUUUGAUAAAUCUUUUAAAAUAGUAUUAGAAUAACUUUGCUAAAAAAAGUAAAAAUAAAAUAAAAUAAAAUAUAUAUAUAUAUAUAUAUAUAAAUAAACAAAAUAAAAAAUUUAAAAAGAAUAUAUAUAUUAGUGGUCCCACAACUCAUUAGCUACUCAUAAGCUUUAUAUCAUUUUCUUAAAGUCAAGUCAUUUACAAUUAUUUCUAUAUAGCCUUCUCCAUUGCGACAACUGUACAAUAUAUUAAUUGAUUGAAAAAAUCAUCAUGUCUUUUUUGAUAGGAUAGUUUUUUUUUUAUUCAAAGAACUUUCAAAUUCUUUAUGUCUAGUGGUCCUACAAUUCCCUAUUCAUUGGUAUUUCAUAUUACCAACCAUUUUACAAAUAAGUUAAUUUCACUCGAUAAAUAUACUUAACCACCAAUGGUUUCCAAUUUGUAGCAUUCUUAUAGAUGUAGUUUGUUUUUAAAUUUUAUUUUUUAGAAGAAUUGUAGGUAAAAAUAUUUUAGCUAUAUAUGUUCAACAAUUCUCUAAAAACAAUUUAUAUAGAUGGAAUACGUUCAUGGAAGUUCCAACUAAUGAAAUUUAAAACCAAUGAUGAUUUAAUGUAUUUGUACUAAAUCUUAGGGAGUGUGGACUAAAAUUAGCCCUUUUACAAAUAUUUAUAACUAGUAUAUUUGUAGUUGUGGUAUUGGAAGUUGAUCAUUUUCUUAAAAGGUUUACCAUUGAAGUUAGUUGAAUAUAAAGUUAGGUGAACUUUACCAUUGUUAAAUUGGUAAAUGAAGACUCUUAGAUUUGAUACUAACAUGUACAUCAUGACUUCAUUGAAUCUCUCACAAGGAAAUUUUAGUUUGAAAGACUUCAUCUUUUAAACAUGUGGCACAUAUUAAAGUGAGACCAAGUCUUCCCUAUAAUUUGUAUCUAUCACAAUUUCUUUCCUCAUAAAUAGCCUUUUUGAAUAGAAUUAAUAUAGACUUUAGCAUGCAUGAUGGGCCCUAUCAAACUAUUAGUCAAGAUAAUUUGUAGGUAAGAACGAUGGACCAACUAUAUUAAAUACUCUUCAUCUAUUUGCAUAUCAAGAGCAACUUAAUAUUGUCUUUCUUUUGUACUUCAUGUUUGAACUUUCAAUGGAGAGUUUGUCAUCUAAAUAUUUGAUGUGGGUUUUUAUACUACUCUUGGUUCAAAUAUGUGGAUGCAAAGGUUGCAUCGAAGAAGAGAAGAUGGGUUUGCUUGAAUUCAAGGCUUUUCUUAAAUUGAAUAAUGAGCAUGCAGAUUUUCUUCUCCCUUCAUGGAUAGAUAACAACACUAGUGAAUGUUGUAAUUGGGAGCGGGUUAUUUGCAAUCCCACCACAGGUCGAGUUAAGAAGCUUUUCUUCAAUGAUAUAACGCGACAACACUUGGAAGACAAUUGGUACUAUUACGAAAAUGUCAAAUUCUGGUUACUAAAUGUCUCCUUAUUCCUUCCUUUUGAAGAACUUCACCAUCUAAACUUGUCUGCAAACUCAUUUGAUGGGUUUAUUGAGAAUGAAGGUAUGUUACCUCUCACCUUUAAAUUUUCUUUUCACUUAUACUCCAAACAUUCUAAAGGAACUACUAGCAUAUGUUCUUAAAAGUGUUCAGGUGGAGAACAAAUGGUCACUAGUAACUAUUGAAUUUAAUAUAAGAACAAUUACUAAUUAUUAAAAUUUAUAAUGUAAAUUAACAUUUAAACAGAACAAUAAAAAAAUUAUUAUUUUAGAAAACUAUAGAUUACAUUAGCCUUAUAUAUAUAAGCAUACUUGUUAUUUAUGUCAUCAUUUCACACUCAACCCAAUAAGUGGGAUUCAACUAAGAGUGAGCAAUUUCACAAUUAUUAAUUAACAGGAACACUUAGGCUCCCAUAUCCUUAUCAUUUUUGCUGAAUUGUCUUUCCUUAUCUUCCAUUCCUAAAAAGCUUGAUUUCUAUAUUCCAAAUUGAUAGAGAUUGGUUAAAGAAAGGUGAUCACAAAAUUUGACUAUUGCUUUCAAAUGAGGAAUCACCAUCUUCAAAAUUUCACAUUUACAAAAAAAAUAAAUAAAAUAAAUAAAUAAAUAAAACUAGCCUCGGGUAAGGUCCAAGCCUUAUUGUUUUAAGCUGAUGUCAGAUUGGUUUAAUAAUGAACAGAGUAAAUCCUAACCCAUGACCAUCUACGCAUUUCCAAAUUCCACCCAUCCACAACCCAUUAAUAUGACAUUUUCAGGGACAAAAUUUAAUCAAUUAAACCUAUUAGAUGGAUUCUCCAUACAAUGUUAAAAUGAAUAUAAAAACUUUAAUUCAAAAAAUAAUUUCCUUUAUUUAGUUAGGAUUCAAAUUAUAGGGGCACAAAACAUGAAAAUUUUCAUGUUUAAAAUUCACAAAGAUCACAAAAGCUCUUUGAAGCUCUAUGGACUUUUUUAUUUCUAACAUUUAAACACAAAAAUCACCAAAUUUAAUUAGAGAUUUGGAUGCAUAUUCUUAUAUUAAAGACAUGUAAGCUUACAUAUUUAAAUAUGAAGAUCUCAACUUGUAAUUACAUGCUUCUAAUUAAAGUUAUAUUACUCUAUUUUACAGGAUUUAAAGGGUUAUCAAGUUUAAAGAAAUUGGAGAUCUUGGACAUAAGUGGUAAUGAGUUUGACAAAAGUGCCUUAAAAUCUUUGGGCACAAUAACAUCACUCAAGACAUUGGCUAUUUGCAGCAUGGGACUGAAUGGAUCUUUUUCCAUUCGAGGCAUGUUAUAUGUCCACAUUGUUUCUUUGAAAUUAAGUAAAAUAUAUUUCUAACUUUUAAUGUUCCUUAGUUAAUCUCUCUUUUGAUUCAUGUUUGUUGCAGACUUAGCUAGUUUGAGAAAUUUGGAAGUGUUGGAUCUAAGCUAUAAUCAUUUGGAAAGCUUUCAACUAUUGCAAGGUACUUCAUUAACUUGCUAAAAAAACUUACGAUAUUUUGUUAUUAAAUUAAAGGUAAGAUUAACAAACAAUUUCUUCUCAUUAGUUACUUUUCUUUGUAAUAUCAUUAAAUUUGAUAUAAUGUAGUCUAAAUCAUCCUUUCAAUUUAUAAGUUUUAAUUAAAACGCAUCAAGCAUGCACAAGAUGUUUAAUAUAACUAAUAUUUUCAUAAGUAAUUGAAUUUUUUUUAUGAAUUAAUUAACUUGAUUAUCAAUAAAUGCUUACAUGUAUAAGAUUAAUAUAGUUUCAUAAGUAUUUUAAAAUUGUCUUACAACACACACACACACACACAAGGAAAAUGAAAGGUAUGUGAUACCUUUAUGCUAUGUUUGGUUCUCAAAAAAAAUUGAGGGAAAAUGAAAGGAGAAAAAAAUAGAGAGGAAAAGUAAAAGAAAAGAAAAGAAAAAAAGUGAAGAAAAAUAUAAAAUUGAUUAAAGUAAAUACAUUAUUUUUAUAUGUUACUUUAACUUGUUUCACUUAUUUUAAUUCUUCAAUGUAAAGAUGAAAGAUUUGAAAAUGCAUAAGUUUCUAAUUAUUUUUUUAUUUUAUUUUAUAGUUUUUACAAUACAACCAAACAUAAUAAAAUCAUUUUCUUUAAUUUUUUUUCUUUUCUUAAUACUUUUCACGAACCCUUAAGUUAUGUUUGGUUUGCAGAAAAUAUGAGGAACAGAAAAUAGAAAAGAAAAUUAAAAGGAAAGAAAAAGUGAAGUAAAAUAAAAAUAAAUUUAAAUUUAAUAAAUUAUUUUUAUAUGCUACUUUAAACUUAUUUCACUUAUUUUAAAUUAUUUAAACUCAUUUCUAAUAAAUAAUAAUGGAAAUUGUAGAGAAGUUUGUGUUAUUCAAGCUUUGCAAUGACUUUUCAAGGUGAAGGAAAAUAUUCUUGCUGAAAUUGAAGAAGGAAAUACCUUCUUAAAUAGCCUAUUGACCGAAAACACAUUACCCUAACAUAUACACACACCUUUAUUAUUUAUACAAUCAUUUAAUACUUAAUCCCGUUAGUGGGAUUCUAGUGGUUGUUUCUAUCUUGGUUUCCAAUAUUUCUGAUUGAUAGUGUUGGAUUAAUGAAAUAUCAUAAAUUUUGACCCCAAUAAGGACCAAUCCCUAUUAAAUGUAAUUGGGUUGACCUAAGACUAAAUGUUAGACCCAACUAAUAAAAACCCAUCUGUUUGUUGGAGUCUAAAUAACCCAGCCUUAGGUAGGGCCCAUGCCUUAUUAUUUUAAGAUGUAGUCCAACUGGUUUGACACUGGAUUGAGUAAAGCCCAACUUAUGAGCAUCUGUGCAUUUCCAUCCAUCCACAACCUACUGGCAUGGACAAACUUUGGUCAAUUAAACCUAUUAUAAAUGUAUACAAAAUUUUAAGUUCAAAAGAUAAUUUUUCUUAUUUAGUUAGGAUUCAUAUUAAAAAGGCACAAAGCACGAAUUUUCAUGUUUAAAUUCACAAAUAUCACGAAAGCUCCUUCAAGCUCUAUGGACCAUUUUAUUUGUAACAUUAUAUUACUCUUAAUUAUCAAAUUAACCAACAAAUUCUUCUCAUUAGUUAUUUUUCUUUUGUAGUGUCAUAAAAUUUGAUGUAAAGUAAUAUUGGUCAUCAUUUCAACUUUCAUGUUCCAAUUAGAUGCAUCAAGCAUGUGCAACAUAUUUGAUAUAACUAAUAUUUUUAUAAGUAAUUGAAUUUUUUUUUCUAUAAAUCAAUUAACUUGAUUAUCAAUGAAUACUUUCAUACAUGAUAUUGAUGUAGUUUCAUAAAUAUUUUUAAAUAGUCAUAGAAGUCUUUUAUCUGAUUCACUAGAAAGAAAAAUAAACUAUUCUAAUGAAAAUACUUGAUGAUUUGAAGUGAUUGCUUUUGAUUUUAUUUGAUUGCUACCAUUAUUAAUUGUUAGAAAUUGGCAACAAAUACCCAUUUUGCAUCACUUCUAUAUGCAUCGAGGGAAUGAAUUAUAUUUCAUAGAGCUAACAGGGCAAAACUCAUACUUUUGGAAUUAUGGAAAAGGUUGCUAGAAAGCUAAUUAACAAUUUAUAUUAUGAUUAAGACUAGUUGGGUUAGAAAUAAUUCAUAUGGAGAUUAAAAAAAACUAUGUAAUUUAGUUUAGUAGCUUGGGUGCUAUUGUAAUGAUUAAUGAUCUGCAACUUGAACACAUCUACUAGUGCUUUCUACUUGUAUAGCUAAAUUUAUGUUACCACUUUGAACUACAGUACUUACAUGAGAAGAAAGCUUUUCCUUAGUGAUAAUGCAAAAGAAAUUAAGUAUCAAUUUUUGUUAAACUAACAAGUGAUAGUUUAGAUAUGUUUUGAAUACACUUCCUUUCUUCUAUUUUUUUAUUUUGAAAAAAAAAACUCUUUAAUGAAAUAUAAGAAAUCUUAUAUGUAUAAAAAGUAAAGACUUAAACAAAAAAAUUCUUCAAAUUUUAAAAAUUUCGAGAAGUAUUUUUAAGAAUUUGUAUUUUUAGUAUAAUAAUUCCUAUAUUUUGUAUAAAAGCUUUUGUUCAAAAAAAUAGAAGUGUAUCCAAAUUAAAAAUUAAUGGUUAAAUUAAGAAUGUUUCUCAGAUCAAGGGAUAAUGAAAGUUGUAGAGAGUUUGCAUUACUCAACCUUUGCAACUACUUUUUGAAGGUAAAAGAAAAUACCUUCUUACAUAACAUACAAUGGCAAGUUCUGGUUUGUAAGAAACUAAUAAAUGAUUAAGAAUAUGAAUAAGACUUCCUUAAUAAUAGAUAUGUAGAGAAGAAUAGUGGAUGAUAGGAGGUGAAAAUCUUGUAAUAAAAUAUCAAUAUCGGUUAUAAGAUAAUCAACAUUUUCUUGUACCUAUGUGAUUAAGAAUCUUGUAGCUCCCUUAUUGAAAUAUAAUAUAAAAAUAUAAAUAAACUAUUUAGAAGUGCAUGUAGUUUUCAACAUGAGGAAGUUCAAAAGCAAGUUAAUUAUGAUAAUUUUCUAUAGUCUAUAUUGAACACAAAUUAUUUUUUCUAAAGGUUCAAUCGUUCUAUGAAGGUUAAAAGUUUGAAUUGUUUACAUAUGCAAAUGUGAAAUUUGAAAUUUUAUAAUGUUUUAUAAUUUUCUUGUAGAUUCAAAAAACUUGUCCAUAUUCAAAAAGCUCGAGACCUUGAACCUCAAUCACAACAAGUUCAAAAACACUAGCCUACAACAAUUGAAUAUAUUUACAUCCCUUAAAAAUCUUUCUCUAAGACGGAACUAUGAUGGAGGAUUUUUUCCGAUCCAAGGUAUGUGUAAUUAUUAUUAUUAUUUUUAAUGAUAAAAUAUUAGAAUUGUCAACAUCUUUUAUCUUUUUUCCCCUCAAUGGUGUUGCAGAAUUAUGCACUCUAGAAAACUUGGUGAUGUUGGACCUAAGUGGGAAUUUCUUUAUUGGCAUGCAAGGUAAAUACAAAGUGAAGUUUUGGUUAUAUAUAUAUAUCAUGUAAGAACAUAACUAAAAUCAACAUUCUUUGCCUAUCAAUUUGUGCAUGACUAUUAUUUAGUUAUUCUUCGUAACAUAAUUGAAAGAAUGUUUAGGUGUAUAACAUUUAAGAAUUUUACAUGGCACAAUGAAAAACAUGGUAAUCAAUGUAUGCAAUAAAAUUCUAAUAGUUGAAAAAGAAUUUUCUUGUAAUUUUAUGUUCGUGUAUAGUAAUCAAAGAGAAAAUCAUGAAAAUGUAUAUUAGUUAGACUUUAUAUAUCAAUAGACAAAAAAGAAAGAAAAAAGAUUAGUUCCUUAACUUAUCCUAAAAUUUUCUAGAUAACAAGGAGUUUUUUUAUUUUGGGCUAUAAGAUUUACAACCUGAAAAGUGAAGAUGAUUAAUAUUAGUAAUAUAAUUUUGAAAUAUAAAAAUUAAUGAAAUAAUGUUCUCUAUAACUAUAACUGCAACUGCAACUAUUAAUAAAAGAUAAUAAAAGUACUUUAGACUUUGAAUCCAUGGUUAGGUUUGCAAUUUUUUGAUGAUCAAUAAAGCUACAACUUAUGCUGCAAAAGGCUAUACAAAAUGUAUUAGGAGCAUUGCUAAGCUCAUUUAUCAAUAAAAGAAAUCCAGUAAUACUUUGAUUGGAAAAAACCUAGAAUCAUGUUUGAUAUAUAUAAUAGGAGAAGAAACAAAAUAACAAUUCCAUGGUAUUAGUUAGUUUGAUAUCCCUUUUGUUAUAUGGAAUAACUAUUCCAUUUUAAAAUAAUUAUUUCAUCUUAUCGCUAGAACAAAAAAUUUCAAGCAAUUAUAUGCGCUUUUGGGUUUCUUAAGAAUUUAAGCAUUUAUGGGUCACCCAUAUAUACAUAUAUAUAUAUAUAUAUAUAUAUAUAUAUGUAGGAAGAAUAAAAAAAAAUAUUAUACGGAGACAAGGGUAGACACCCAUAUAUAUAUAUAUAUAUAUAUAUAUAUAUAUAUAUGUAGGAAGAAUAUAAAAAAAUAUUAUAUGGAGACAAGGGUAGACACCCAUAAAUGUACAUAUAAUUAUUUAAAUAAAAAAUCAAUAAGAAACAAUAUACAACAAAAUAGAAAAUUUUAAUCUUCUUAAAUUUUAAAAAUAAAAACUAAAUGAAAAAAAAUUAAGAAGUAAAAAUAAUAAUAAAAAGGUCAAGAAUACAAAUAGAGAAGUAAACAAAAAAAAUACAUAAAUUAAAAUUAAAAUUUAAAAGAAAAAAUACAUAGAUUAAUAUGAACACUAAAUGAGGUUUUUUGAGAUAGACUUAGUUAGACCUGAACCAGAUGGAUAUUAAAAAAAAUAAAAAAAAAUUGAAAGAAAUAAAAACUAAUUAGAUGCUAAAUAUUGGAUUAAAAUAACCAAAUGAAUAAAGAGUAAUUAUUAAUUUUUAACAUUUUUUAUUCCCUAGAAUUAUUAUUUUGUGUAUUAAAUGUAUUCUGAGUGUAGUGGUAUAAAAAAUGUAGUUAAGAAUACUAUGAAGAAUAAUAAUGGUGAUGAUAAUGGUGACGACACUUAAUACCUUUUAUUGUACGUUUAGAAAAAAUGAGGUUCUUGAUCUUUAUGGAGAUUAUCAUUACUCAUCCGCAAGCAUGUUGAUAGUUGAAACUACUCAAUUAUCAAAAAUUGAAUUUCUAACCUUCAAUUUUUCUCUCUCAAAUGUAUAUGUGGGUGAGAAAGCACUAGGAAGAUUAUAAGGUCUCACAUGUAUAUGAGUCAUAGGAUAAAAAAUAUAGAGACAAUACUAGCAUUUAUUUGAUCUAGUGGCAAAUAGAGAAAUAUAAAAUAACCAUAACCAUAAUGUUCUAACCUUAUAUAUACCAGAACCAUGUUUCCUUCAUUCAAUGUUGCAACUUUUUCUUUUCAAAUUAGAAUGUAACUUGUAGGAUCCAUUGCCCAUCAAAAUUUUGAAUCGAAUAUUAUAAGAUAUUUCACAUUUCUACCUACUAAAGCAUGAGCUUCAAUGUUCUCAUGCACUUUUGGCUACUAAGUUAAAGAACCCUUUGAGGAUUAAUGGAGUUUCUAUGAGUAGCAAAGCAUUAUAAUCAGAAAGUCUUAUCAGUGAUAUGCAAUUUGACCAAGAACUUAUUCCCAACUAUUUUAUGAAUUUUAUGACUUUUCUUGGCUACUUGUAGGCAAGCUAAAGAAAUUUUCUGGUUUGUUCAAGUCUAAAAAGUGGUUUCAAGUUUAGGGCCAAGCUUGGGCUGCACCUAGGUCCUUGGGCCUUGUUCAGCUCCACGUUUAAACCAACCUUGAGUCCAUCUUUGUAAUUUUUCUCCCAAUUCAUUGAUUAAUAUUAGGAUUUUAUAGAGCCUAUAAAUUGACCAACUAAAUAAAGUAGGUUCAUAAACUUUUAGGUGAAAAUUUUCUCUUUAAUAAAUGUUAAUUCAAGAGUCUCCGUAAUCUUUUUAUAUUCAUAUUAAUUGGUAUUUAAACCGACCUUACUAUAUUAAAGUCAAAUACCAAAUAGUGAACACUAUAUCUACUACUACCACUAUGAUGGUCACAAACAUAGAAUGCUCCAUUUUUUAGAGUCAAUUGAUGCUUAUAAACAACUUUGUUUGAAAAUAAAACACAUCGAGUGAUUGCAUCAAGAGAUUGAUGUAAUAAUUGCAUACUUGAUCUAGAUAAUGUUAAUAUGAGUUGACUAAAUAAAUGAGUAUUUACUUAUAAGGUAGCCCAUAGAACAUUAUUUGUGGAAAUAUUCAUGCACCUCUACAUAUGUUCAUGAUAACUUAGGUUGAUAAAUUUAAGAAGAACAAAUUCAUAACCUUGGGCAUAGUUAGUAAGAAAUUUCACCAAUAGAGUUUGGUAUCAUGAUUCUAAUUGUUCAAAUUGUUUUAAAGGAGUAUUUUAAAUUGCAUGUUAAUUUGCUUCUAAUAAAUGGAGAGAAACCAAUUCAAGAAGAGAAUUGUACUCAAGCUAUGUAUAGCAUUCAUGAAGAUGUAGAAAAUAUUGAUGAACUUACUUUUGAGCAAGUUGAAAUCAUAAUUAAAUAAAAUAACAAACCCAAGGGUUAAGAUUGUCAAGUAAAACUUUAAUUAAAAUUUAUUGAUUUUUUAAAUGCCUAUUAGAGGAGCAAUAGAAGUUCUAGAUAGAAAGUAAGAACUUUUCUAAGGAAUCACUUGUUAGAUUUUAAGUGAUCAAUAAAUAUAAUGUCCAAUUUAAAACUUUUAUAAAAGCAAUGGUUCUAAAGAAUAACUUGAUUUGAAUUUAAAGUUAUUAUUGAUAUUUAUUUAUAAUGGAUGUAGUUAAUCAAUUGAACAUAGUAAAAAACACAUAAUUUUUUCAAAAUACCUUCUAAUUGUUGGGUAUAUUUAAGUAGUUAUUCAUAUCUCAUUAUCUUUUUACUCACAUACUAAUCUCCUUAUUGAGUAUUUACCAAUUACAAGUAGGUUGAAAGUUACUUGAAUUUAAGUCACUAAUCAAUGUUAACUUGAUGACAAAUAAGUCUCCCUUUGAAACUUGUUUUAUAACAUAGCGAAAUGUAGUCGAUCAAUCAUCAAAACAAUGUUUAAGCAUUGGGAUUUAGUUGUUAAUUUUUAUUUUUUAUUUUUUGUGCUUAAACAAAGACAAAAAUUAUAAAAACUCCUGAAAAGUACAUAUUAAUUGAAUUUAAUUUAUACAUCAAACAAGAACAAACUAGUCUUGGAUUUAAAAUUCAAUAGGUUUUGUAAUUAUAAUUCCUAAAAAUUUGUAAGACAACAAAAUUAUUGGACACUAGGCUAUUGGGUGUGUAUGACUAAGAGGUGAAGGAGGGUUCAUCUUAUACAAAGGAUGAUUUGAUUAAUUUUAAAGAUUGAAUAAACAAUAAUUGCAUAUUCAAGUAAAAAUAACAUUGCUAAAAAGGAAAAUAAGUAUUUUAGUCCUCAAACCUAAAAUGGCUAAAAAAUUUAAUUAAUACAAUUACAACUUCACCUACAAAAAAAAAAAAAAAAAAAUACCCAAAACUUUUCAAUAGCACAACUAAGUCCAUUUAUCAAAAGCUCUAUGAACAACAACAACUAUCAAAUCACAUAAAUCAUGUUGUUUACAAAGUGCCCUUGAUGUUUUAAAACAUAAGAUAUUACAUAAAAAUCAACCAAUAGUGUAUGACAUUAUAAAAAACAUAUCCAAAUCCAUUGUCGAACUUAAACUAAAUUCAACUUUAUAUACAUAGUCGCAAGUGGGUCUUUUUGUCUUUCAAUUUGGGUCAAAUUCAGAUGUUAGUUUUUUACACAACAAGGGAUUAUCAAGGUGAUAAUUCAUGCAUAUAAAUAGUAUUACUUAUAUAAAAAAAAUGGUAAAUGCAAUUUUUUUGUAUUCACUCACCAUUUGGCAUAUCAAUAAGAAAAAAAUAUAUACAAUAGGUGCUAUCAAUAAUAUUAUGCAUCACUAGAAAUUAUAAUUUUUCAUUUGUUAUCACUACUUGUGCACUUUGGAAAGCUUGCUAGGUACAACAAAUUAGCUCAGUGAAGAAAUUGAUCAAUUCCUUCAUUUCUAAAUAAAUUUGCAUAUACACUAGAAUAAAAACAACUUUUUAACUUAACAAGUUGACUGAGUCUCAGAACUUAGUAGGUUGAAGGCAUAGACUUCCAUCCAAGCUCAUUUACUGGCACCACAUGUUGGAAAAAUAAAGAAAAAUCAAAACACUUGAGUAUAGUUGCAAACCAAUCUAAAUAUAGAGUGAGAUCUACCUUUCUUUGAAAGUUUAGAACAAAUUUUUAUUUUUAUGAUAAGACUAUGCAGUACUUAUCCCUCUCUAACAAGUCUAUAAUCAGUCCAAAGCAUGGGAUAUUGCAUAUUUCUUGAACUCAAUUAGCCUUUAAUCCAUGCAUUUCAAGUAAAUUUAAAACCUGGUGUACUUGUUCUUGAUUCACAUCCUUGUCACUAUUAUCAUUACUUGUUCUUGAAUAUAGAACCUUAUUGUCCAUUAACAAGCGGGCCUAUGUUCCUCCAUGAUUCAAGAGUAUUAUGUUUUGUUCAUCAUCAGUUGGUCUUGCUCUAAAGCUUCUUUUUUAUGACUAUCAAUAACCAGACUUAGAUACCAAAAUUUAUGCAAGAGAGCAUGUACUUUAUACAGUCAAGAACUUGUGAGUCUAGACUUUGUUAUCUAGGUAAAAGAAUAAAUUGGUUUGUUAAAAUAGCUAGCAUUAGGUAUCUAUUCAAUUCCUAUCUUAGACAAUAAAGAUACAAAUGAUCAAAUACAUUCUUAUUAAGAAACAUUUGAUACCAAAAGUGAUGUAAGACAACACAGUUCCUCUAUUCAAUCAAGUUUAAGGCUUAGAUGAACCUAUGAAUUUAUAUUAAUUAAUUGGGAAAGAGAAUAAAUAGGCUAAGUAGAAGUGAUAGGAUUGUAAUAGCAUUAAGUUAAUGAUCUUGUUUAGGUCUUCUACUAAAUUAGAGAAGAAACAAACAAAAGUAAUCAAACGUGUUAGUGAUAAUUAUAUCUACUUAACAUUGAGACAAUAGUUGUACUAAUGGUAAUUAUAUUAUUUCUUGAGAGUUUAAACAAUAUAUAUUGAAAAUAUUUUUAAAGGUUUAGCAACUACCAAGGUUAUAAUCAACUACGAGCUUUUUAUUUUUAAAAAUAUGAAAUAUUAAUAUCUUUACUUUCUUUGAUCUUCUUGUAGGUUUUAAAAGUUUGUCUAAGCUGAAAAAGCUGGAAAUCUUAAACCUUCGUGAUAAUCAGUUCAACAAGACCAUUAUAAAACAGUUGAGUGGACUCACAUCCCUUAAAACACUAGUUGUAAGCUACAACUAUAUUGAGGGACUUUUUCCUUCCCAAGGUAUUGCUUAUUCUUUUAAUAUCCUUAGUAACCACUCUACCAUGAUUUUUUUUUUUUUCAAUUUUAUUUUCUUUCUUGAACCAUACAGAAUUAUCUAUUUUUGGAAACUUGAUGACACUGGAUUUAAGAGAUAAUAGACUCAAUGGCUCCCUAUCAAUCCAAGGUAAAUUCUAAUCAGAAUUAUCAUUAUAUUUAGGGCAUAUAAUAAAUUAAUUAAAUUAUUUUAUCUAUUAUCAUUACUUGGUUAUUUGGAUUUUCUUGAUAUUGUUUAGCAUUUUACAUAGGAAAAUGAAAUGGAAAAAUCAACCCAUGCUUAGUGUUUAAGCACUGGGCUAGAAGUAUAUUUGUCUUCCCAAUUUAAUCAAAGAGAAAAGUCAUAAAUAACAUAAUUUAACUUAUACCUUAUAUUGAUUGAAGAGGUUAGACUACUUUUGGAUUUAAUGGUCAAUAUUUGUUGAAGAUAGGGUUUCCUAAAUUUGAUAAAAAGAACUUCAAUUUAAAUUACCAUAACUACAUAAAGGUGUGACUAGCAUAAUUAAACUCUUUUAUUAAUAGAUGUUCAUAGACUAGUAUUAUAAUCCCACAUGCACAAAUAAUCAAAUUUUGAAAUUAGACUUCAAAUAACUAUGCAAUAUACGAAACUACAAAAUGAAUGGUAGGUCAUAAUUAAUUAAAUUCGUACUAUAUUCAAUGUUGGUCAACACGUGUCAAGUAAAAGUUUUGGCCUAAGUGUAAGGGCUCACUUGCUCCAAUAUAUAUGUUAUUCACUUUGGGUCAAGGCCUACUUUAAAAUAUCUAUACAUUUAUGAGAUAUUUUAAAAUGUAAAAUGAUAGGUUUUGAUCAUUUUUAAAGGUAGCAAACAUUUUAUUUUAUUUGUAUUUAAGAACAACGUCUUUUCUUAUACAAUGUUUAUUUAAUUUUCUUUUGAUAGAUUUUGCAAGCUUAAGCAAUUUGGAGAUAUUGGAUUUGAGUUAUAAUUCCUUCAAUGGAAUUGUUUCAUCAUCUAUAAGAUUAAAGUCUUCUCUCAAGUCUUUAUCCUUGGCUGGAAAUAGACUCAAUGGUUCUUUACAAUGUCAAGGUAGGAAACAUUUAAUUUUAUUUGUAUUUAAGAACAAUGUCUUUUCUUAUAUAAUGUUUUUUUAAUUUUCUUUUGAUAGAUUUUGCAAGCUUAAGAAAUUUGGAGAUAUUGGAUUUGAGUUAUAAUUCCUUCAAUGGAAUUGUUUCAUCAUCUAUAAGAUUAAAGUCUUCUCUCAAGUCUUUAUCCUUGGCUGAAAAUAGACUCAAUGGUUCUUUUCAAUAUCAAGGUACAUAUGUUAUGCUUUCUUUGUUUCAUAAAGAUUAGACAAGAUAAACAUUGUGAAAAAAAGGUUGUCAUAGUUAAUGUAAAAUGAUAGGUUUUUGAUCAUUUUUAAAGGUGGCAAACAUUUUAUUUUAUUUGUAUUUAAGAACAAUGUCUUUUCUUAUACAAUGUUAUUUUAAUUUUCUUUUGACAGAUUUUGCAAGCUUAAACAAUUUGGAGAUAUUGGAUUUGAGUGGUAAUUUCUUCAAUGGAAUUGUUUCAUCAUCUAUAAGAUUAAAGUCUUCUCUCAAGUCUUUAUCCUUGGCUAGUAAUAGACUCAAUGGUUCUUUUCAAUAUCAAGGUACAUAUGUUAUGAUUUCUUUGUUUCAUAAAGAUUAGACAAGAUAAACAUUGUGAAAAAAAGGUUGUCAUAGUUAAUGUAAAAUGAUAUGUUUUGAUCAUUUUUAAAGGUGGCAAACAUUUUAUUUUAUUUGUAUUUAAGAACAAUGUCUUUUCUUAUACAAUGUUAUUUUAAUUUUCUUUUGACAGAUUUUGCAAGCUUAAACAAUUUGGAGAUAUUGGAUUUGAGUGGUAAUUUCUUCAAUGGAAUUUUUUCAUCAUCUAUAAGAUUUAAGUCUUCUCUCAAGUCUUUAUCCUUGGCUGUAAAUGGACUCAGUGGUUCUUUACAAUAUCAAGGUACAUAUGUUAUGCUUUCUUCGUUUCAUAGAGAUUAGAGAGGAUAAACAUUGUAAAAAAAAAAAAGUUGUCAUAGUUAAUGCAAGCUAAAACUAAAAAACUUGCUUUUUCAAUUAUGUAAGCAUGUUUUGUUCUUGAUGAAUCUUUACAACAUUCAAAGUUACUAAUAUUUAUAAUUCAUAGAGACCUCAUUAACAACCACUAACAACUAAUUGUAAGUAACUAUGAAAAAAGUAAGGACAAAAAUGAGGGAAAAGCAAGGAAAGUGACAAAUUUUUUCAUCCCCAUAAAAAAUGCUAAGGAAGAAAAAGGUGAAGAAAAUUUAAAGAAAGUAUAUUUUUCAAAAAUUAAAUUUUCUUUCCCUUAAAGUUGGUAUGGACAACCAAACAAGAAAAUGAUUUUGAAAUUCUUUUUUGACUUUUUUCUUUCAUUUUUUUUCCUACUCUAUUUUCUUUCCCUCAAACUUUCUAGGUAGUAAACAUUACCUAAGACAAAUAGGGAAGAAAAUAUUUUAUCAUUUAUUUAUUUAGCAUUUUUCUUACAUUUUUUGUAUUUUAUCCAAAUAUAAGAAAACUAUUUUUCUUUAUUUUUUCUUUUCCUUGUUGCGUUUCAAGAAUCAAGCAUACUUUAAACUCUAAUUAAGAGUUACAUAGAUUUACGAAGAAACGAUGCAACUGGUAACAAAAAAUUAAGGAAAUUUAAUUUUUGAGAGUAAGUAUAAUGAGAUUGGUUUGUUUGAUACAAAAUUUGAAUAAAAAUUCUUUUAAUGAAAAUUCAAGGAAAGGAAAAAAAAAACAACUUUAUCUCUAGACUAUAAUACUAAAUCAAUUAAAAAAAAUCUCCUAACAUCGUUUAUGUUCAUCUUUCUUUUUAUGGAUUUGAAAAACUCAAUAAUUUGGAGAAAACUGAUUUAAGGAAGAAUAUUUUUUAGAGUAAAAGAUUAUUAUUUAAGAAUAUCAUAAAUAUUAUAGUCAUUGUUGAAUAUGAUAAAUGAUAAAUAAAAAAUAAAAAAUAAAUAAAAAGUCGUUGGAAAUUUAGAUACUUUUAUGGAAAGAUAGACAAAGUGCUCUAGUUUAUAAUACUAAUGCACUUUUCUAAUUUGAUAUGAAAAAAGGUAAAACGAUAGGUUUUGAUCAUUUUUAAAGGUAGUUUGUUUAAAUCAUUUUAAUUUAUUUUGAUUUAUGAACAAUAACUUUUAUUACACUAGUUAUUUUGAUUUUCUUUUGAUAGAUUUUGCAAGCUUAAGCAAUUUGAAGGUAUUGGAUUUGAGUUAUAAUUCAUUUAGUGGGAUCGUUCCAUCAUCUAUAAGAUUGAUGUCUUCUCUCAAGUCUUUAUCUCUGGCUGGAAAUGACCUCAAUGGUUCCUUACCAAAUCAAGGUACAUAUAUUGAGAUUACAGGUUUUUCUGUUUUCUUUUUUAAUAUCUUGUUUGUUCUUUAUGCCAAUGAAGUCAUGCAUGUCUAUUAAUUUUUGGUAUUUAAUGAAAAACUUUAUUCUUAAUUCAUAAAGACCUCAUCAACUGUGAGUAACAGCUAGUUGUAAGUUUGGGGGCAUUGACAAGACGAGGAGAUGAUUGGUUACAUGUCUUAUUCUCUUUUGUAGGCUUUUUCCAAUUGAAUAAGCUUCAAGAGUUGGAUCUUAAUUACAACUUAUUCCAAGGGAUCCUUCCUCAAUGUUUGAAUAAUUUGACAUCUCUAAGGUUAUUAGAUCUCUCUUCCAACCUAUUCUCCGAAAAUCUUUCUUCCACUCUGUUACCUAAUCUCACAUCCCUGGAGUACAUUGAUCUCAGUUACAAUCAAUUUGAGGGUUCAUUCUCUUUCAGCUCUUUUGCUAAUCACUCCAAGCUUCAAGUGGUCAUACUUGGAAGUUAUAACAACAAAUUUGAGGUAGUUGGAAGGGAUAACAACAAAUUUGAGGUAGAAACUAAAUAUCCAGUUGGUUGGGUUCCCCUGUUUCAGUUGAAACCUCACCGGUGACCUUCCUGGUUUUCUUCAAUACCAAUUUAGAUUAACGGCAGUUGAUCUCUCCCAUAAUAACUUGACAGGAAGUUUCCCCAAUUGGCUGCUUGAAAACAAUACGAGAUUGGAAUUUCUGCUCCUGAGGAAUAACUCUUUAAAGGGUCAACUACUUCUCCUAGGACCUAAUACCCUGAUCAGUUCGUUGGAUAUCUCACACAAUCAGUUGGAUGGACAACUUCAAGAAAAUGUGGCCCAUAUGAUUCCAAAUAUUUGGAAGUAUUCCCAAUUCAAUCUCUAGACUUCUAGAGCUAAGGAUUCUUUUGCUAAGAGGAAACCUUUUAAGUGGUUUCAUUCCAUAUCGACUUUGUCAUUUGACUAAAAUAAGCUUGAUGGAUCUUUCAAACAACAAUUUUUCUGGGUUAAUUCCUGGAUGCUUUGGUCAUAUCGGAUUUGGAGAUUUCAAAACUGAGCACAAUGUGUAUAUACCGAUGUUGGAUUCAUAUUCAGAAAGCAAUCCUUCUAUAUAUACGGGUUACUUAAUAAAAUAUUUAUUUUUCUCUAGUGAACUCCCUGAUAAAGUAGAUGAAGUUAAGUUUGUUACCAAGAAUAGGUAUAGCUCCCACAUAGUAGAUAAAAAUAUUUGUUCGGAAUUUAGAUAUUUUUAUAGAAAAGUAGACAAGUAUUCUAAUUUAUAAAAACAAUGCAUUUCUUUAGUUUGGUAUAAAAAAAUGAAAUGAUAGGUAUUGGUAAUUUUUUUUAAAGUAGCAAACGUUUUAUUUUAUUUGUAUUUAAGAAAGAUGUCUUUUCUUAUACUAGUUAUUUUAAUUUUCUUUUGACAGUUUUUGCAAGCUUAAGCAAUUUGGAGAUACUAGAUUUGAGUUCUAAUUCCUUAAGUGGGAUUAUUCCAUCAUCUAUAAGAUUGAUGUCUCAUCUCAAGUUUUUAUCGCUGGUCGGAAAUCACCUCAAUGGUUCUUUACAAAAUCAAGGUACAUAUGUUAUGAUUUGUUUGUUUCAUAUAGAUUAGAGAAGAUAAAUAUUGUAAAAAAAAAAAGUUGUAGUUAAUGUAAGUUAGAAAAAAGUAUCUUGCCUUAUAAAUUAUAUAAGCACGUGUUUGUUCUUAAUGAAUCUUUACAACAUUUAGAGUUACCAAUCUUUAUAAUUCAUAAAGACCUCAUAAACACUGAGUAACAACUAAUUGUAAGUAAUUGUGGAAAAGUAAGGAAAACAAAUUGCUUCAUUUGAUACAAAAUUCGAAUAAAAAUUCUUUUAAUGAAAACUCAAGGAAAGGAAAAAACAUUUUUAUCUCUAGAUUAUAAUACUAAAUCAUGUAAAAAAUCUCGUAACAUCAUUUAUAUUCAUAUUUCUUUUUAUAGAUAUGAAAAAUUCAACAAUUUGGAAUAAACUUAUUCAAUGAAGAAUAAUUUUUAGAUUUAAAGAUUAUUAUUUAAGAAGAUCGUAAAUAUUACCAUCAUUGUUGAUGUCUAAGAAGAUCAUAUUCAACAAUUUUUUUAAUAUGUUGUUUUCUAUGGUAAUUAAUUGAUGUCUUGUAAUUUUUAAUAUUUAAUGAAAAACAUUAUUUUAAUUCAUCUAGAGCUCUUAAUUCAUGAAGACCUCAUUAACGGUGAGUAAUAGUUGGCUGUAAGUUUGGAGUCAAAGACAUUUCAAGGAGAUGAUUAGUUACAUGUCUUGUUCUCUUUUGUAGGUUUCUGCCAAUUGAAUAAGCUUCAAGAGUUAGAUCUUUCUUACAACUUAUUCCAAGGGACCCUUCCUCCAUGUUUGAAUAAUUUGACAUCUCUGAGGUUAUUGGAUCUCUCUUCCAACCAUUUAUCCGGAAAUCUUUCUUCGCCUCUGUUACCUAAUCUCACAUCCCUGGAGUAUAUCGAUCUCAGUUACAAUCAUUUUGAGGGUUCAUUCUCUUUCAGCUCUUUUGCUAAUCACUCCAAGCUUCAAGUGGUCAUACUUGGAAGUGAUAACAACAAAUUUGAGGUAGAAACUGAAUAUCCAGUUGGUUGGGUUCCCCUGUUUCAAUUGAAGGCUCUUUUCCUAUCCAACUGCAAGCUCACCGGUGACAUUCCUGAUUUUCUUCAAUACCAAUUCAAAUUAGAGGUGGUUGAUCUAUCCCAUAAUAACUUGACAGGAAGGUUCACCAAUUGGUUGCUUGAAAACAACACGAGACUAGAAUUUCUAGUCCUAAGGAAUAACUCUUUAAUGGGUCAACUACUUCCCCUGAGACCUAAUACCCGUAUCCUUUCAUUGGAUAUCUCACACAAUCAGUUGGAUGGACGACUUCAAGAAAAUGUGGGCCAUAUGAUUCCAAAUAUUGUGUUUCUAAAUUUAUCCAACAAUGGUUUUGAAGGUCUUCUCCCAUCCUCAAUAGCUGAAAUGAGUUCCUUAAGGGUGUUGGAUUUGUCUGCCAAUAAUUUCUCAGGAGAAGUACCAAAGCAGUUGCUUGCAACAAAAGAUUUGGUGAUUCUAAAAUUAUCAUAUAAUAAAUUUCAUGGUGAAAUAUUUUCAAGGGACUUUAACAUGACUGGGUUGGAUAUUUUGUAUUUAGACAAUAAUCAGUUCAUGGGAACUCUGUCAAAUGUAAUCUCCGGAAGCUCUCAGUUAAUGGUGUUGGAUGUGAGCAACAACUACAUGUCAGGUGAAAUUCCAAGCGGGAUAGGUAACAUGACAGAAUUGAGAACAUUGGUCAUGGGCAACAAUAAUUUUAGAGGCAAAUUACCACCUGAGAUUUCUCAAUUGCAACAGAUGAAGUUUCUUGACGUUUCUCAAAAUGCUCUUUCAGGAUCUCUUCCUUCUUUGAAGAGCAUGGAGUAUUUAGAGCAUCUACAUUUGCAAGGGAACAUGUUUACAGGAUUAAUACCGAGAGAUUUUCUCAAUUCCUCAGAUCUAUUGACUUUGGAUAUGCGAGAUAACAGGUUAUUUGGAAGUAUUCCCAAUUCAAUCUCUGCACUUUUGGAGCUAAGGAUUCUUUUGCUAAGAGGAAACCUUUUCAGUGGUUUCAUUCCAAAUCAUCUUUGUCAUUUAACUAAAAUAAGCUUGAUGGAUCUUUCAAAUAACUCUUUUUCAGGGCCAAUUCCCAAAUGCUUUGGCGAUAUCCGAUUUGGGGAGAUGAAAAAGGAGAAUGACGUGUUUAGACAGUUCAUUGAUUUUGGGUAUGGAGGGGAUUCUCGUAAUUUAUAUGUUGGAUUCACGGUGAAAAAAUGGGAGUUCGAUAGUGAUGUAUAUGAUGAAAAAAAUGAAGUUGAGUUUGUCACCAAGAACAGGCAUGACUCCUACAGUGGUGACAUCCUUAAUUUCAUGUUUGGAUUGGACUUGUCAUGUAAUAACUUAACCGGUGAAAUCCCUCACAAACUUGGAAAGCUAAGUUGGAUUCAUGCAUUGAACUUGUCUCACAAUCAAUUGAAGGACUCCAUUCCAAAGAGUUUCUCCAAUCUUUCUCAAAUAGAGAGCUUGGACCUUUCUUAUAAUAAAUUAAGUGGAGAAAUUCCUCUAGAGCUAGUUGAACUCAAUUUUCUAGAGGUGUUCAGUGUGGCUUACAACAACAUCUCUGGUAGAGUUCCAGAUACAAAAGCACAAUUUGGGACAUUUGAUGAAAGAAGCUAUGAAGGUAAUCCUUUUCUCUGUGGGACAUUGUUAAAGAGAAAAUGCAACACAAGUAUCGAGCCACCAUGCGCACCAUCACAAUCUUUUGAAAGUGAGGCAAAAUGGUAUGAUAUCAAUCAUGUUGUUUUCUUUGCAAGUUUUACUACUUCAUAUAUCAUGAUCUUGUUAGGAUUUGUUACCAUCCUUUACAUCAAUCCUUAUUGGCGUCAUAGAUGGUUCAAUUUUAUCGAGGAAUGUAUAUAUUCCUGUUAUUAUUUUGUUUUUGAUAAUCUUUCCAAGUUAUCAGCAUAUUUGUAUAAUUAGAUACUUUUAAUUGGAUGAUGUUUGCAUAAUUAACUACUAUUUGUUUCCACUAGAUAGAAAGAAAUGGGAUGUAUAAUUGCUACAAGUUGAAACUUACAUACUUUGCUCAAAUUUUGACAUCUUUUGAUUUUAUUUUCAAGUUCCGUUAUUUUUUAUGUAUUGUUUAAUUCAAGAUUUAACCAUAUUUUGUUACUCUUAUAAAAACAAAUUCAAAUUUUUAGGAAGUUUUAGCAUUAAAAUAAUUUCAUAGUCAUAUUUUAAAAAAUAAAGAAGAAAGAAAAUAAUAAAUAAUUGGAAAAACAAUUCAAGGGAGUAUUAAAUUAUCAUCUUAGAAUUGUUUGGCAUAGUAUGGGAAUUCAAAAAUAAUCUUUCAAUUUGUUAGAAGCGUUUAUUUAUUUAUUAUAGCAAUGAUUGAAAUAUCAAUCACAAAGCAAUGUUUUCUUUUCUUUUGUAGGGCACUAACACUUUUUCUUUGAUCGUAAUAAUUGAUAAAUAUAUUACACAAUUAUUUGUUUUUAAAAAGGGAGGGAUGACAAAUAUAAUAACAUGUGAAAUAUUUCUAAAUGAUGGGAAAUAAGCCAAUCUAAUUAGGGUGCAAUAUUAUUCAUUUUAAUUUAUAUGAAUUUACUUAUUUUUAUUUGUAUCAUAUUUUGAACCAUUUUAUGAAAUUAAGGGAGAUUAAAACAUCGAGUUUCUUAUUUUAAUUUAUAUUUUUAAUAAUAAAGCAUGAAAUAUUUUUUUUUUUAAAAUCAUGAAUUUCUUUAAUUCCUUAGGAAACCAAUAUAUAAAAAAAUUGAAUAUAUUAUGAUUUUAUGUCCUAAAUCUCUAAAUUUGUUCAUCACGUAUUUAUUUUUAUAUUAAAUUUAUUAUUAUUAAUUAUUUAUUAUAUAUUAUUAUUUUAUGUUUAAAAAUGUCCAUAAAUAAUUAAAAUUAAUAAAUAAAAAAAAUGAAAUAUUAAAAAAAUUAAAUUAAAAAGAUUUCAUCAAACUAACAUAUUUAAAAAAAAAAAAAAGCAAAAAGAAGAUGGGGAUAUUAUAGAUGAGGGGAAAAAGAUAAAAAAUAAAUAAAAAUUAUGCGGUAUGAUAAUUGCCUCGUGUUAAAGUUAUUUUCUUUUAAAAAUAAUAAUUGUAAUGAUGAACUCAUUUGUCUUAUUAAAGUAAACAAAAAUGAAGAAAAAAAAAAAGUUGUAGUUGGCUAGAGGUGAGAGAGAGAGAGGAGGGUUUGAGUGUAAGUUUGAAAUAUUAAUUAUUUUCACUAAGUAGAUAUUUUGAAGGUUAUUUUCCCCAAAACACAUAUUCUUUUAAUAAAAAAUCAAAAUUUUAGAUUAUUUGUUCCUUUAAACUUUAGUUUGAAUAAAAUUAGUUUUAAUUAUUUUCUUUUUGGAAUUAUAUUUAACACAUUAUUAAAAAUAUAAAAAAAUAUUAUUAGGUUUUUAUGUGCUGAUUGGGUUUUUUAAAUACCCAAUAUGCCCUCCAAUCUACCACUUAAGCAUCCGAUAUGGCUAAAAAUAAAUUAAAAAAAAAAAAAAGGAAAAAAAACAAAAGUGUAUGAUCCUCUUUCUCGAGUCUUCACAUUUUCAGACACUGAACCCAAAUCAAAAUUAAUCCUCCAAAUUAAUUUUCACCUCGAACCCAAACCCUAACUGCUGCCCCGUUUUCUCCUCAAACAUAGCUAUCCGAAAAACCCUAACCUCUGCCUCGUCUUCCUCUUAUCCCGGAAACCUAAAUCCCGUGACCCUAACCCCUUCUCUUUCCGAAAACCCUCCGGAAUAGGAAGAUUCAUAAUUCUUCAGAAUUAAUUUUCACCUCGAAGCCAGACCCUAACUGCCUCAUCUUCCUCUCAUUCAUAUCCUAAAAGUAGCUUCAACAGUCAGGCCUGUAGCCAUGAAAGCCGUAAUGAUCGCCACUUCCGGUGAUCCCCAAGUUCUCCAAGUGCAAGAAGUCGAAAACCCUAAAAUUGGAGAUGAUGAAGUUCUAAUUAGAGUGGACACCGCUACCAUUAAUCGAGCAGAUACGCUUCAGGGAAAGGGCUUGCACCCUCCCUCAAAGGCGGCAGUCCCUACCCCGGCCUCGAAUGUUCUGGAAUCAUCGAAGCUGUUGGAAGGGUCGUCGUUCGAUGGAAGGUUGGCGAUCAGGUAUUUCAAUUACUGAAUAUUUUUUCCUGUUCCUGUAUUUUUCUCGGCUAUCAAACACCAGGAACGCGUAAAUAAGGAGGUUAGCUGAUUGCGAAAACGGAAAUUUUUUGUUCGUGUUUGUGUUAAGGAGUCUUUGUUGAGAAUUUUGGGGAAAUUUAUGAUAAGUUUGUGAUUUUAUGAUUAAUUUUGUGUAUCAAUAAAUGUUAAUUAUUGAGCUUAUUGGUUUUUCAAAUUUAUGGUUGUAAGAAAAUUGGUCAGUGUAAGGUUAUGGGUUCAUUACCAAUUUGCUUACUGAAAAUUUUUCCAGAUAUUGUGGGCUGGUUUGGUAGCAGAAAUAAGAACUGUGUUUUCUUUUCCAAAACGGAAAUAGAUGUAGAAAACAUGUUUGGUAGCCUACUUUCAGAACUUGUUUCUGAAAAUAUUUCCUGAAAAUAUUUCCUGAAAAUGAAUUAUUUCAGAACUUGUUUUUAAAAACUGCAAGCACUUUAUCAAUUUAAAAGGUUCUGAAAUGGACAUGUUCAUGGUCUUCAUUUUGUAAAAUGAAAGCUUUUAUGAAAAAACCAUUUUCCAUUCUACUAAGCAAACAGGCUUUAUAUUGUAACGGAUCUAUUGGCCAUCUCCUUUGUCAUGUUUUGUGAAUCAUGGCAACACUGGAAUCCACUCCAUUACUCUCUAUUAGUGAUUAGGAGAGAAAGC
rnacentral:lncRNA from 1 species